UAACCUGAACGUAGAAGUAGUCAUACAGCCAAAGGAGAUGAUAUUUGUUCAGGGGACCAUGCUGAUUGAUAUACUUGAGAAGUUUGUUCUCAUCAAGGCUCAGGUAAACAAACUCUUUGUUGUUCUCUAUGAUCUUUACAUAGACAUUAAUGCCUGUGUGAAGAUCAUUAUCAGAUCUUGAAGAACUGAGACUACAUCAUAGUUCUUCCACUCUCUCUGAUUCUGUCGCUAGACAGAUCAAGCCUCUCCACGGACAUUGUCAAUCUAUUGCUCUCUUUGAUCAGCAGAAACCUGGAAAGAAACGACAAACUUAAGUUUACUCUCAUCUAGUUCCCUUUUGUGAAUUUAAUAACUAAAAAAUUUGAGAAGAAGUUCAGUAAUAUGUUUGUAACCUGACGACACCGACAACGUUUGAAUCAUCACAUGUGAUGCAUGGGAAGGAAAAUACUCCCUCGCUACAGUCCGUUGUUGGUUUGAAUUCCGUCCAUAUUGCCGGUGCAGAGAAACUCAGUUGGUUAUAAUGAAUGAGAGAACAGUGACAAUCAGAUGGGUCAAUUUACAGUGUUUAGAAUUUUAACCUUGCUUUCGCAACAUGGUUUUCCUAAAGAUUUGGCUCUACUCUUGGCAUGAGGAACUUCACCACUAUGUAUUCCACGUUCUAUCUCGUCGUCAUCCACAAAUAAAAGGAUAAUUUUAGAAAAAAAAUCUAGUAGAAAUAGGAAAGGGAAAAGAAUUAACCUUUUCUUGAGAGCGCCAUUCUCGAUCAGCUCAUUGAUCUUCUCCUUGGAAGGAGGCUAAGCAUCAACAUGCAUGGCCUUUGAAGACCCUAUUGGUGGUAUCCAUGGAACUGCCGUUAUCAUUCUGCAAAAUCAACUGAACCGAGCAAAUUUUUUUUCACUAAAUUUACUUUUUGCAGCUCAAUCAUAAAAUCGAAACCCAAUAUUGAACUAAUCAGCUAUCAAGCAGCAGAAUCGAGUCAAAUUUCAGGCAAAAUCUAACAUAAAAAAGCAGUCUAAGACUUUACCAACAUGUUUCACAACUUCAGAUUAUAACACAAGCUUGAAAGAAAGUAUACGACAAGAAACAAUAACCACAACACUCACUGGUCCAAGACUAGAGCGGAGCCAAAGAGCAAAGGAGAGGGUUAAACAACUAUAACGCUUCCACAAUUCUCAUUUAAAAAACAAAAUCUAGGUAAUAACAGAUGCUUAUGUAUGAUUGCAAUAACACAUCAAAGUAAUUCAAGUAGUAAUAAACUUAAGCAAGUAAGUAAAUGGCUUGUGAACUGAGACUUACACAUAAUAAAAAUCUGCUUUGCCUCUAAUCCGUUUCCUAAUGAUUGAGAGGGAGUAGCAAUGAGCUUCAGUGAAUUGUCUUAAAUCAUGAUCUUCGGCUUACAAAAAAGCCAGUAUAUUGCAUAUGAAAAGCAUUUCCAUGACGGCGACCUUGUGGGAACCAAAAUUUGCACUGUCGAUUUCCGUUUAAAUAAGGAAAGUUAGGAAAACCCUAAUUUCCCAGAGGUCCCAGAUAUCUGCUAAACCACAUGCCAAGCAAUCAGAACACGAAAUAAAGACGAGAAAAAUAAAAAUCAAAAAGAAAGCAAAAUAUAUCUUAUUCUGAAUUCGCGUAUGAGCGUUACAACAAAGUAGAAGCCUCGGCUAUGAGAGCUGUCGGCGAGAUUCCUAGUUCUAACAACCUGAGACUGCAAAACCUAGUUGAGUCGCAGCUCGAAAUAACAAAACAAAAAGUUGCCUAAUUGCUCUAAGUGCUAAGUUUGCUCUGAAAAAGUUCUCUCUGGUGCCUCUCGCCUACGACUCCUUAUAUAUUCCCUCCAAAGUCGGUUUAAGCUUUUCUCUUCCUGCCCUUAAACUGUCAUAACUCGAAAAUGGAGAUAUUCCAUUUUUCUCGAUCUCAUGAUUAUCCACGGAAACUUAACAUUUAUCUGCGGAAAUUUGACAUUUAUCCUUUCUUGCGGACAAAGUGUAAACCGCCAAAGUAUCUAUGGGCUUUUCCUUGAAAAAUCAUAAGUGGGUUUCUAAUCGUGUUCUAGACCUAUUUGGGCCGUCUUUCAACUUGAAACGUUUAUUUCGAUUUUUAUCAUAAACAUAAACUUUCCGCGAUUUUUAUCAUAAAGUUUAAGUGAUAAAACCAAUCGACGGGAGUGUGAAAUGAUAUGGCUGCGGUACUCGGGAACUAGCAUUGAGGAACUGACGAGAAUGCAAGGUUUUGGGUCGUACCCGUUGAUCGAUGUUCGAAACAGUUCGUUCGCUACGUAGCGACCGACUCGUCACGGAUCGGUCCGUACGUAGCGACCGAUCGAGAGGCUCGGUCGGUCACUACGUAGCGACCGACUCGUCACAGAUCGGUCGCUACAUAGCGACCGACUCGUUCGCGGGUCGGUCGCUACGUAGCGACCGACCGAGUGGCUUUGUUGGUGGGUGCGGNNNNNNNNNNNNNNNNNNNNNNNNNNNNNNNNNNNNNNNNNNNNNNNNNNNNNNNNNNNNNNNNNNNNNNNUUUGCGGGUCGGUCGUUACAUUUCGACCUUGUUUGCAUUUCUUUCCGAUGUUUCAUGAACGUGUUCUUUAGUUCCAAUGAAUGAACCAAGAUUAACGCAAUGUUUCACCGCAAGAUUUUUCGUAAAAGUGAUCUUUUACGAAGAAUACUUUUCAUAAAAACGUUCAUGUUAAUUUUUACCGGUAUUUGGAUGUUAACGUCGUCGUGUCCGUUUUUGACCCCAACAUACCUCACCCCACGAUCCAAAUCACACAGGAAAAAUCUCCUUAAACGGAUCACAGUUAAGGAUCUGGAAGCCGCGGUCAGUGCAGACAGAGAAGCAAGCAGUGGAGCAGCCAUGGAAGAGGCAGCGCCGGUGAAUUCAGGGCAUGUGGAUAGUUAAUAUUACUGUCCCGUUUGGUAUCCGGAAUCUGAUUGGAAUUCCGUUUGGUAUCUGUGGAAUUGAGAUUCAUGGAGGAGAAAGAAUCGGUGUGUCUCCACUAUCGCGGUGGUGAGAGGGAAAAUCAGAGUCAGAAUCCGAGAGCACCCCAAUGGAGGGUUGAAAUUUAGGGGUUCUAAAAAUACAUACAUUAGAAUCUCUAUAAAUUAAUAAUGUUGGGACUUUGAAAUUUUAUUAAUUUAUAGAGAUAUUAAUUUACAAAGUUUUCCUUAUUUAAAUUUCUUAUUUUAAAAUAUAUUUAUUUUCAGAUAAAAAUAUAUUUGAUUUUAGUGUAUAGAUAUUAAUUGCUAUUUUUUUAUAUUUGACAUUUAUAUUAAUUUAUUAUAUUAUUUGGUGUAUAUAAUAUAUAUAUAUAUAUAUAUAUAUUUCAUAGAACUUAAAUGUGAAUUUAGAUAUAGUAUUAAGAAAUCUCAUCAAAAAUAUAUUAAGUGUUAAGGAAAUAUAAAUAUACUUCUAUUGUGAAUAUAAAACAAACAAUAUAAUAAUAAUAGGUUCUUACUUAUAUAGAAUAUGUAUACAUAUAAAUUAUUAAUUUAUAAUUUUAAUGGCACCAUAUAUUUACGUGGAAUUUUCUAAAUGAUUAAUAUAUGCUUAUACCUUCAAAUGAAAUAAUCAAAUCUAGAAUUAAAAUCAAAACUCGAAAUUUUGAAAAUAAAAAUAAAAAACAAAAGAGAAGUAUGAAAGAAAAUGUUUCCACUCUUCCAUAUUUAGUGUUCAUCAAAGUCAUGCUUCGUCGAGUGAAACUCUGUUCGUUUAUAAAUAAGAAAAAAAUUGUGAAGAAUUUUUUCUAGUUAUUAUCCAUCAAAUUUAUAACCUUCACUUCAAUUUAAUCAAUGCUAAAAGAAAAUAAAAUGAUUAAAAGAAGAAGACUAAGAAAAUAAAAAGCUUCAGUUACGAUGAAUUGUUAUUUAAUUAUAUUUUAAGUGUUUUUCAAAUUAUGAUUCUUUAUUACUAUAAAAAUAUGGUAAUAAUUAUUAACAAAAGAAUAACUUAUAUAACAAAUAUAUUUUUCAUGUGACGUUAUAAAAUAUGUACAUAUUUACAUGUUUUUGCUUUCGAUCGGUUUUGUUCGGUUUAUUCGGUUUAAUCGGUUAUAUACCAAACCAUAUCCAAAUCCUACGGUUUUUAUAAAAUCAUAUCCAUUCGGUUUAUAUGGUAUAUACCAAAACCAUACGAUAUUGUCUAUUUCGGUUCGGUUUGGUUUGGUUUGGUAUGGUUCGGUUUUACCAUAUUGGACAUGCCUAAUUUAUAGAGAUAUUAAUUUACAAAGUUUUCCUUAUUUAAAUUUCUUAUUUUAAAAUAUAUUUAUUUUCAGAUUAAAAUAUAUUUGAUUUUAGUGUAUAUAUAUUAAUUGUUAUUUUUAUUGAAAUUUAACAUUUAUAUUAAUUUAUUAUAUUAUUUGGUGUAUAUAAUAUAUAUUUCAUAGAACUUAAAUGUGAAUUUAGAUAUAGUAUUAAGAAAUCUCAUCAAAAAUAUAUUAAGUGUUAAGGAAAUAUAAAUAUACUUCUAUUGUGAAUAUAAAACAAACAAUAUAAUAAUAAUAGGUUCUUACUUAUAUAGAAUAUGUAUACAUAUAAAUUAUUAAUUUAUAAUUUUAAUGGCACCAUAUAUUUACGUGGAAUUUUCUAAAUGAUUAAUAUAUUAUUAUUUUAUCGAUUUGUGUCAAAUAGUGAACCGGUCCAAAUUGGAACCGUCAAAAUUUAUUAAUUUACAGAAAUUAUAAAUUUAUCAAGUAUUAAUUUAUAGAGGUUCUACUGUAUAUGUGUAUGUAAUUGUGAGGUUCUAAACUUUACUAGAAACCCAAUCCAAAAUAUUUAAUAUAUAUAUAUAUACAUAUAUAAUAUAUAUAUACAUAUAUAUAUGUUUUUAGAACUACUAAGCUAGAACUCCUAAACACACCCAUCAUAAUUUAUAUUUAGUAUUAAGAAAAUAUUCAAACUAUUUUGAUUCUCUGUCUAAUACCUAACAUAUUUUUUGAUAUCCAGCUAAUGAAAAACAAUUAAAAACUAAGUUUUGUACAGUAAAAUCAAUGAUGUCAAACGGAAUCGGUAUAAUGUUGUUUACUUUUAUUAAAAACAAAAUUUUGAAUUAUAAAUGACAUUAUUUUUAUCUGAUUUAAGAUAUACAAACUAUUUGAUUCCCACUUAAUAUCAAACUUAUUUCAAUACUCAAAAAUCCUAUUUUAAAAAAUUCUUCUUUUCACUUAUUUUCUGCUCUUUUGAUUUCUUUUUCUUGGUAUAAUUGUAGAAUUGUGAAAAUGGAUAUGAGUCAAUUUUCAAGUUCAAAUACAAUUUUUUUUUUAAACCAUGAAAAAGAACAAACGGUGCGUUUGACUAGGAAUUUAACGCUUAGAGUCGGUUCCAUUGCGCAUAUAGUUUGAUUUACUUUAGGAGGCAGAUUUACGCCAUGUCUCGGUAUUACCAACUGCUGCACCCGGCCUGAAGGAGAUUAGUUGGGCAUAAAGGCUGGAUCAUCUCCUGGUUAUUCAAACAGAAAAAACCAUGAGAAAGAGCGACAAUCUAUUUUGUCACUAUUCUAGGCCAACAUUUAUGUUGAGAUUGUGGAAAUGUAUGACUUGGAAAAAAAAGUUUACAAAUGUGCUGCUCUUGGAUUCUUUGCAUGAGCUGAAAAAGAAAAGAUAUAUAAGCGGCAUAAACUGAUUGUAGGAGAAAGAUCAGAAUCGUCGGCAAAAGAAAAAAUAAAAAAAUUAAACAAUUUUCAGCUAUUAUUUAUGUAUUGACAUGGAAAAUUUGGAGGAUGAAAUUCUCAGAAAUUAUUCAUGUUCCUCAGACGGCGAACCUCAAGGCGGAUAGCUUAGCACGUAGUGCUAGAAAACAGUCUUUUGUCGUACACAUGGAUGCAGAGUUACCAUCUUGGUUUACAGAGUCAACAUGAGUCUGUAAAUGUUUGCUGUUAAAAAAAAUUAUGUUCAAUAUUCCUAAAUAAUUUCUGUAUUUUUCUAUUGUAUGAAAAUUAUGUGAGGUGUUUUUGGAAAAUUUCCUUAAUAAAACAGACGACAAUACCUUGAUUUUGUUUAACGUGUUGACAUUGUAAAUUUUAUGGUGUACAACUUUAAGUUUUAAAUUUGUUGGUAUUAAUUUAAAAUAAAAAUAUAAACUGCACAUUAAAUGAAGAACCAAAAUAUUUUAAGAAGUUUAUAAUGAAAAGAAACUAUGUUAAGUAUGUUUGAAAUUUUUUCCAAAUAGAAUGGUAAAAUCAAGACUGCAAUAACAAUCAAAGAAACCACUUAAGAAUUAUCUUGGGAUUGAAAUCACUUGAUCAGCCAAAAUCCUGUCAAUGUUCUGAAAUGAUCAUUUGGGGAUUGUAUGCUUCAAACUAUUGACAUCCUCAGAUUUACUUGAGAUGGUCAUUUUGCCCUCACCAAUUAAAUGUUUUUGACUAUUUGGCUGUUUCUGUGUAAGACGCUCCAACUCUAUCACUUUCUUUUUUUGAUCGAGCUCCAACUCUAUCACUAAAUAUAUGGAAUAUGUGUACAUAGUCGAUAGAAAAUAUAUGUACACAGUUGGAGAAGGCUUCCACUGUUUUCCAGGCCUAUCAAAUGGUGAAUUUGGCUCAUCAACAUCAACAUGUUCCAAGCCUGACAAAGAAAAUGGCUCAAGAAAAAAAAGUUGACAUUUGGAAGAAGAAGACGGCGUAUAGAAAAGAAAAAGCUAACCACUUACUUUAGUAUAAAUAGAAUAGAGAAGUCAUCAAGGGAGAUAAUUCAAAAACAACAUGAAAGCAGCAGAGAGAGAUUAGAGUUUAUAGCCUCUUAAACUUUGUAACAUAAAACUUUUAGCGAUAUCAUUGUUAUCUUUGCUAAUUUCAAUAAUAUUCUUUGUAAUGGCCGAUUUUUCUUUAAUAAAGCCUCAUUUUAAUAAUUCACCAUUGAAUUCCAGCUAUCUUAUUAUGUACAUCGAACACAUAUUAAAAAAAUUGCAUAGGGAAAGGAGAAUUAUCAAACAUAGAAAUUGGAAGUUCGACGGCUGAAAAGAACAGCUCAAUGAUUUUGAAAUUUUGAGCGUAUUCAUGACGUUUAUAAAAUGUCAUUGACGCCUCCAAGCUUGCAUUCACGUUCUUCCAACCAAGAUACAUAUUAUCAUAUUAGAGUUACAUGUACAUAACUUUAAUAUAAAACCUUCGCCUGAGAAAUAAAGGCACCUCAGAAGAUAUGUCAUCUUAUUUGAAAACUGAUAACAUGAUAUGUGGCAGUUACACAGAAUCUAAUACGUCAUCAUAUGUGAUGUGAUAACUAUUUUCCAAGAUGUGAAGAACCAGAAGAAACUGGCACUCAUGCUAUUUUGAAUGUCUGCCAGUGUUACAGGCAUGGGCUCUUUAAGCAACUCCGCCUACUCCUGACAUUUUUCCACUUCCGAGCAUUUAUACCAACAUGGAUUAUCUAUUCUGGAGGAAAAACAACAUUGUGGAGCCAGAGUUGGACAUGGAUCCUUAUCCUUAGAUAAUCUGGUAUCUUUGGACAUUUCAGAAUGACAAAAUCUUUAGAGGGGUAGAUAAAGAUCUUUUGGAGCUGGUCAGAUAUGCGAAAGCUGAAUACCAAGCUUGUUUAAUGCAAAUGAGAAAAUACCCUCUUCUCCACAGGAACAUGCGAUUGAGGAACCACAAGUCUUAAACUUGAGUAAUAUUUGUUUAGUGGAUGGUUGAUGGACCUCUACGCCUCAAUUCAAUGGAUACGGAUGAGUUUUCAUGGAUAACUUGGGAAAGAUCCAACUUAUGGGAAUGCAGAAUUUAAGAAAACAAGAAGUAGCUCUGCACACAAAAUUGGAGGCACUGAGAUGGGCUAUGAAAAGUAUGCUUCAACACUCGAUAUGUCAGAACUUUGGGACAUAUUGCAAGAACCAGAUUGGAAUCAUAAAUGAUCCCAAAUAUUGGCCAGGUUUUGCAAUGUAAUCGAAAGUGAUUCAGACUCUUCAACUAUGCUUCCCGGAGUUCAAAAUCUCGCACAUGUCAAAAGAGCAAAAUGGAGUAGCUGAUUCUUUAGCUAGGAGUGCACAUUUAUUUUAUAGAGAAUUUUGUUACAUUGGUUGUUCUAUUCCAGUCUAGUUACGCAUACCACCUCAAAUUUUAGUAAUAGAAAAGCCGUUUGUUGUAAAAAGAACUUUAUUAUAAUACUUAAAUCAAGUCUGCUUAUUGUUGACUUAUUAUAGCACAUAUUUCAGUUAUACUUCAACUGUUGAAUCAAAUUUUUACUCUUCAUUGUUGAAAUCAAUAUUUUAAUGUGUUACGUUAUUCACUUUAUUAUAAUAAUCAAUUGAAUUAUUUUACCUUGAGCAAAAACAAAACUUUAAUUCUAUGCCAAUAUUCUUAUGCAUAAAUUAUGGUACUAAGAAGAUUAUUUGAUCACAGAGACCUCAGCACCACAUCAGUCGCGGUAAUUGAUCUCAUUGAUCACAUCAUCACAAAUGAUAUUUUUAUCAUGUUGAUUACAUCAUCACACAGAUCUGACAUCCAGUAUCAGCCCUGGGUACAAGCCAAGGAAUCAUGUGCUUCCGGCCCUACAUAGGACAUGUAAUAGUUCUACCUUGUUUUGAACAAAUAUCGUCUAUAGCGUAGAUGGUUUAUGGUUAGUAUUUAUAUGAAAGUGGUGCUGGGUUCGAGUACUACUACUUUCAUUUUUCAUUUUUAUAUGUAAACAGCCCAAAACUUUAUUUUUCAUCUAGUCCAUUUUGUUUCAUGGCCGGGCCCGCUCACAUCGAUUAUGUAAUUCAUCCUUUCAUCACAACGAUUAAGGCAUCACAAUUACUCAUCAUAACAUCGGUUGUGUCAUCAAACUGAUCUCACAUCGGUCAUGUCAUCGAUCUCAUCAUCACAUCAGUCUCGCCGUAAUAUUGAUGACAUAAUCAUUAUUGCAAGCUUGGUAUACAAAAUUACUACAAAAUCGUCAUAUAGAUUAACUGUGAACUCGCCAUACAGAGUUAUUGCGAACUUUUCAAAUAAAGUUAAUGCAAACUCAUUAUAUAGAGUUAAUGUGAAGUCAUCAUACAAAUCUAAUCAUCACCGGUCUUAGGUUGUUCGGGACCAAAGAAAUUUAUCAUUUUAUAAUGUAUUAAUUUAUAGAGUAUUAAUCUCAUCGGUCGCGUCAUCACACUGAUCUAACAUCGAUCAUGUCAUUGAUCGCAUUGUCACAUAAAUCUCGCCGUAAUAUUGAUCAUAUCAUCAUUAUCUCAAGUUCAUCAUACAAAGUUACUACAAAAUCAUCAUAUGGAUUAACUGCGAACUCACUAUACACAGUUAUUGCAAACUUUUCAAAUAGAUUUAAUACAAAGUCAUCUUAUGCAAACUCAUCAUAUAAAGUUAAUGUGUUAUCAUCAUAUAAGUCUAUUCAUCACAGGUCGGUUGUUUGGAACCAAAGAAAUUUAUUAAUUUAUAGUGUAUUAAUUUAUGAAGUAUUAAAUUUAUAGAGUUUCUACUGUAUUGUAUUUGAAGAUUUGAGUGCUAUGUGGAUAUAAAAUUAGGAAAGCAUAUAUAGUUUAAAUGAUAUUAUGGAGCCAAGGAGGAGACAAAUAUAAACCAUGUUUCAACUCUAAAGAAACUAGGAAGCCGCAUGUAUGUCAGCAGAAGGUGAACCGGAGCCAGGGGAUCUGGUUCAAUUCAUGGACCCCAUGGAGUGGCUAGCAACUCUUAACAGACUUUCAACAGGGGACAUGAUAAUGAAGUGGAAUUCUCAACUUCCUAGCUCAUGUGUAUUCUGCAAUGAUUCCCUGGAAACUAGAGAUCACCUCUUUUUUCAAUGUAAGUACUCUGACGAAGUAUGGAAAGGUCUGACGCAACGGUUACUGUCAACAAACUCCACCAAUAACUGGAGUACAAUACUGCAACUUCUUCUGGAUAAUAGCAGAAUUAAGUGUGACAUAUUCCUUAUGAAAUAAUUUUUCCAAACCGCAUUGUACGCAGUCUGGUGUGAAAAAAAACUGAGGAAUACACAUCCUCCGGCUCAGCUGAUUCUAAUGGUCGAUAAAAGAGUUCGAAACCGGUUCUUAUCUUUCCAUGGAAUGAGAGGGCAUGCUUAUGAGAUGGGGAUGUCCAAAUGGCUUGCUACAAGAUAGAUAGAUACUGUAUAUUUUUCUACUUAAAACCUCAGCAACAUAGCAACAGCUGAUGUAAAAACGUUUUUUUAGUUGAAUCAAUUUAAAAUUCUUUCAAAAAAGUAUAGGGAAAUUGGGCCCUAUAACUAUGAAAAAAGCAUAAUUCACGCCGUUACCGAUUUUCUCCACACUGUCGUUACAUAUACAUAUUAAUACUGUAAUAUCCUUCACUCAACCGGCGCAACCUACAAAAAAAGUAAAAGAAAAAACUUAAUUAUUAAUCCCCCAAAAGUAAAUCGUGGUUUACUCGACUUCACAUCUUCCCAUUUUUACCUUUCUACGUAACUUUCUAGAAGUUGAUAAAUCUCCAGCACAAAUUUGCUCCACACUUUUGCCUUUGCCUGAUUUUGAAAGCUUUGCUAUCUUCUUUUUACUGCCAUUUCAGUUGUGUUCUUUUCUCCGCUUGUGCCGUCCUUCGACCUCGGAUGGCGCUAAAUUUGCAGCAGCGGUUAGUAAUAGACCCUCAUCUCCAAUUUCACCAACUCGAUUCGUCUCUGAUUUUUGGAACUACAGUAAGUUGUCCGUGUUUUCUUAGACUUUCUUCACCUUUGAUUACUUUAUUUGAUUUCAGGAUCUUUUCCAGAAUUAGAGUCCCAUAAUUACUAACUAUGUACCAUCGUUCAUGUUGCAUACCAUCAUUCUUGUUGCAAAAUUAAGGCCAUAUGAUUGGAGUUUGCAUGUGCUAUUUGAAAAAGAAAAUCUUAGUUUUAGAGACUGGUUACAUGUCAUUCCAUUCCUCUGCUAUUUCUGAAGAAUCGUAUCAUAACUAAUAUAUUAUUCGAAUUCCAUUCCAUUUGACCAUAUGUUUUGUUCCAUAUAUAUAAAUUAUAUGUUAUAUCAGAUGGUACAAUUCUAAUUGCAUAUGUUACUUUUUUACUCACAUAGAUUAUUUGGGAUUGACACAACUAAAACACUUAACCUAAGCAUAUAGUAAUUUAUAUACUAGUAGUCUAUCUCAUAUGCUGCCAUUUCCUUCUAACUUGUAAACUAACUUGUAUCUUCAUUUUCAUUUUGUUCUUCAGGUUUUUCAUGGAUGAGUUGGAAGGGUAAUAGUAUUUCAAUACUAUUUUAUGAAAUGGAAUAGAUUGUCUUUCUUUCAAAUUUGUCUCUUCUCUUAUUUGCCAUGUUAUUAUUAAUAUAUAAUGUAUUAUUUAGUAAGUUAUAUUUCAUUCGAUAAUUGAAAGAGAUGGUUCAAUCUUGUUCGUUGUUGUUUCAUGUUAUAUUGAUAUGAGUUUUUUAUUGGUGUAUACAUAAAUUUUAUAUUAGUUUGUAUAUAAUUUUGUAAAAAGAAAUAAUAUAUUGAACGUAAAUGGAAUAUAAUUUAUUAUAACAUCAAAUGAAAAAGAAUACAAUGUGAUGUUGAAUGGAAAUGAUGUUCAUAUGAUGUUGUUUCUUUUACCUCUUUUCUAUAAUGCCGUCAAUCUUCAUUUCUAUUUGCUACAAUCAACCUAAAUUUGGUGUAAGCAUUACCCCAUUCCAUGUACUCAUAGACUUUUCAAAAUUUGAACAAUAUAUUUGUAUUUUGUUAUUUCGUUUGUUACCUUUUUUUAUUCUAUAAGAUCAUGUAUAAUGAAAAUGCAUGCUACUUGCAUUUGAAAACUUGGGUUUAGUUUAUGAAAGAUUGGGGUUCACAUUGGAUUAGGGUUUAUAUUUCCAUGUAGGGUUUAGUGAUUAGUGAUUAGGAUUUAGUUUAUGAAAGAUUGGGGUUCACAUUGGAUUAGGGUUUAUAUUUCCAUGUAGGGUUUAGUGAUUAGUGAUUAGGAUUUAGUUUAUGAAAGAUUGGGGUUCACAUUGGAUUAGGGUUUAUAUUUCCAUGUAGGGUUUAGUGAUUAGUGAUUAGGAUUUAGUUUAUGAAAGAUUGGAGUUGACAUUGAAUUAGGGUUUAUAUUUUCGUGAUUAGUUGAUAAGGUUUAAUUUUGUACGACUGGAAUUGACAUUGGGAAAAACAUUACCACUUUCCAUGAAGGCAUAGCCAUAUCAACAUUUGAAAAAUAUGGUAAGAUGAUCUUUUGACUGCAAUUACAUUUUCACAUUUUCUAUUCAAUAUGCUCAUGUAGAAUGGAAAUACAUGUUACUUGCAUUUCGAAAUUUGAUUUUAGUUUAUGAAAGUGGGAUUGACAUUGGAUUAAGGUUUAUAUUUCCAUGUAAGUUUAGUGAUUAGUGGCUAGGGUUUAGUUUAUGAAAGAUUAUGAUUGAUAUUGGAAUAGUAUUUAUAUUUCCGUAUAAGGUUUAGUGAUUAGUUGAUAGGGUUUAGUUUAUGUACGUUUGGGGUUAACAUUGGGGCAAGCAUUACCACCUUCUGUGAACGUUAAUCAAUAUCAACAUUUGAGAAAUAUGUUAAGAUGAUCCUUAGAUUGACUACAUUUUCACAUUUUCUAUUCUAUAUGCCUCAUGUAGAAUGGUAAUACAUCUUACUGGCAUUUUGAAAUUUGGAUUUACUUUAUGAAAAAUUAGGGUUGACAUUGGAUUACGGUUUAUAUUUCCAUGUAGAGUUUAGUGAUUACUUGAUAGGAUUUAGUUUAUACUUUGUGUUGGGUUAUUUCGUCGUAAGUUUAUUUUUUGGAUUUUGAUAUUUGGAUUUAAGGUUUAUAUUUGGGUUAGAGUUUAGUGAUUAGAGUUUAGGGUUUAGUAUUUAGAAGAUAAGGAGGUAUGGUUGAAGCCAAUAUGAAGUUUUUCAAUGCAAUUAUAGAUAUUUCAUAAUUUCACCAAUAUGUACUAUGUUAUUUUAUUUUGUUCUAUUCUAUUUGGAUUUUGUUUUUGGGUUUAUGAUUUAUAUAAGGGUUAAGGGUUUAGUAUUUAGGGGUUUGGAUGGAUUGUGAUAAGGUUUAGUAUUUAAAUUUCAGAGGUUGAGAUAGUGAUGGUGUCUUAUACUAUUUAUUGGAUAUGAAAUAGAACAUUUAAACCUUUUAUUCUUUCACCUUCUUCAAUGUUUGUUCUCUUCAGAUGAAUUUACAAGGUUGGUAAAUGGAAUAAAUCAUUUAUUCCAAACAUGUUCAUAUUUUACAUCACUCGUUUCACUGUCUACAAUAAAAAACAUCUUUUGAUAAAUAACAUAGUGAUGUGGCUACUUCCUCUUCGUUCAUAUAUAAUAGUUUUGGCUUCAUUUGCACCACAAAAGAACAACGUCACGUAUUCUCUUACUUACAACUGAAAACUUGUUACGUAAAGGGGUAAAACCGGAUGAUUUAUGACCUAAAUACCUAACAUUGAAUUAUGUCAAAAUCAUUGUCAUUCACCUAGUUCAUCUUCAAAAUAUGGCUAUUACACAAAUAAGCCCAAAAAUAUAUCAGGAGAUAGUAUAAAAGACAUUAUUCACUAUGACGCUUCUAUGCUAAUAUAGACAACAAUUAAACAAACUAAAUAAGAAACAUGAACGUCGAAAAAAUUGGCACGGCGGGUGAAAUUUUUUAAUAGUAUAGUCCCCGGACGCUGGCUGCCCUGUGGUUGAGGUGGUGAUGAAUGACUUUGUUGGUGUUAAAAAUAUAGAAGAUUAUAAAUGGUUAGUUUGUUAAAUAUCUAGAAAAUUAAGGUUCGUUAGUUUUUCGAAAGUAUAUGUAUAUAUAAUAUUCGAGCUAAAAUCGAAUAUGAAAUAACACAAUCAUAUUGGUUGGUGAACCUAGAAAGAAUAAGUCUAAUAAGAAUAAAUGAACAUAACAAAACAAACAGAAAAGCAUCUGAAAUUGAACAUAUAUAUGAACAAUGUUAGGUGGGGUGAUCAAUAAAGUUGAAUAUGAUAGGCCAAGAUAUAAUGGAAUCCUUGCUUAGUUAAAAUUUCACCAAUUUAAAUGCGUAAAGAUUUGGUGUGAAGACUUUGAACUUCACUCAUUUAUAGGAAACCUAUUAAUUGACUGAUCACCAAACUCGUUUCUUGUUUUUUCGUUUCAUCACAUACGUCACUUCUUUCAUUUCAUCAAACGAGAAGUAGUCGCUUCUACGUUCUAACCAAAAAGACGAUCGGCAAUAAAAUAGUACGAGAACAAGCCAUUAUAGUGCUUUUAUGUAAAGCUUCCAGUUCACUAAAUUUGCUUGCUUUAGGCCGAACACACUUUCUAAGUCUUGAGACCAUUUGAAGCAAAUCCAUUCAAUCAGUUAUAAAGUAGGGUCACCGGGUUACGCACGUCUCGAUCUCUAACUAUUUUGCAAACCUGAUUUUAGGGAUUGGUAGAAGGGAAAAUAUCCUCAACACCAACCUUUGAUAUAUACGAUGAUUCCAAGAAUGAAAUUUUUAAAAACUCCUUACAGUUAUGACAGUGUCUGCCUAUAAAUGGAUAUGAAUGUAUAUUUUCGUUAUACAAUAUUGUAAAGUCGAUUUGUAUCUAUCUACCAAGAACAAUAACACUGGUAAAGUUUUAAUGAUAGGGAUGGUUAAGCAAUAGUUAGGGUAUAAUAAAAGCUCUAUCAUUUGUGGCAUGCAUGAUGCACAUAAAUUGAGCAUGUAAUCUAUCAAAAAAUGUAUUUCGCCAUUGCGUAUUUGCGAUAUCUUAUAAUCAUAUUAUAUAUGUUUGAAAGACAAAAAAAAUUAAAGCACUUCCAUAAUACUCGAAUUAUGAUAAAUAUUUGCAGAACUGAUAAUGACAAGAAAAGCAAAACAAAGUUAGAAAUUACUUGUAAUUAGAAGCGUUCAAACAAAAUAUAAAUAUAUACUUUUGUUCGUACAGAGGUAGACGUAAUAUAUGAAGAUUUAUGAUAGGGUCUAACAAUUAAAGUCCCAGAGACAAUCUUCUUGAAGACAAGAAGUGAAAGGUCUAUUAAGAUCAAGAUUACCCAGACAAGAAGUAUCAGUCGAAACAUAAUCUCCUAGCACCUCGUCAGAUGAAACAAGAGACAUUACGUUUCCACAACCCAAACCAUCAAAGUCCAUCAAAUCAGAGAAGAGAUACUCAGACUGAAUUUUAUCAAAAUCGAUUUUAAGAUCUCCCAACAACGAAGGAGAACCAGCUUGAUGAUCAAUCACGUUUUCCUUCACAGUAAGAAGACUGGUACUACCAAUACUACUCUGAUUCUGAAAUGUCAGAGCCUUUGGGAACCUAAUCGCCUUUGGACGUAUAACACAUACUUUAUUCAUGUUGUUGUUGUUGGAAUGUUUUCGACUUUUCUGUUGGUUGGUUUGAGAUUUUGGAAGUCUUUUGCGGAGGUUUGAGUUCCAGUGGUUCUUUAUUUCAUUGUCUGUUCGCCCUGGAAGCCUCCCAGCUAUCAACGACCAUCUGCUUUACGCCGCUAACUUUUUUUUAGAAAGGAAGAGAAUGUUAUGUAUUUUGGUGAAAGCAAACGUUAGUAACCUGUUUCCAAGGAGAUUAUGGAGGCGGAUUAUAAGUUCUUCUUCAUCAGAUGAGAUGUUUCCGCGCUUUAUGCCUGGUCUCAAGUAGUUCUUCCACCGAAGUCUGCAGCUUUUGCCACACCUCUUGAGACCUUUAUGUUUUCGGAAACAAUGAUUUUAAACAUAUUGAUAUAAUUUUUCAAUCAUUAAAAAGAAAAUUAAAAGAUGCACGGAUAUGUACCAGCUUGGUUUGGGAGUGUGCUCCAUUUUCCUUCGCCGUGGAACAUGAUAUAGUCUUUAAGGAUCUUGUCUUCUUGAUCGGUCCAAGCUCCUCUGUUUAACUCCUCUUUCUUCACCUUACUACUUUCUCUCUUUCUCAUCAUCUCUCUUGUUGUUGUGUGGUUGGUAGACUUGUCUUUAGCGUUGUGUUAAGAAUAGAUUAUGUUCUGUGUUAAACCAAGUAUCUUUAUAGGGAGUUGUUGCAAUGUCCGUUACAUCAGUCGCUUUCCAAAACCUCUGUCACACACACACACACCCUUUUUAGUUUCAAUGCUUUUCCCACUUCACACCAUGAUUUACUAGUCUAGUCUUACGUGCUAAGUCUCUAACUGUGUACUUGUGUAGUUCCUAAACCGACCUUGAUCAUUAUCGUAUAACAAAUUAAGCAUGACUGUGAAUGAUUGGUGAAAAUAGUCAUUCCUAGUCUUAGUCGCAUUCUAGCUUGUAAGCAACCAUCUUCACUGAACUAAGUGGUAAGAGCAUCCUCAUUGCUAAUUGUUAAAAUUAAAUACUCUCAAACAAAAAUAAUAAAUUUUAUUUUAACAUAAUAUAACUAAUACUAUUUGAGGUCCAAAAAUAACUAACUACUAGAUUUUGACCCGCGCUUCGAAAGCGCGAGCGCGGGUUUUUCUUUGGAUUGUAAACAAAUAUUAUGAAUUAGUAUUUUAAAAUUGUUAUGCAUUAUUAUGUUAUAAAAGUUAUAUUAUAUCGAAGAAAAAAUUUAUUUAAAAUUGUAUAAUUUAUGAAUUAGUUUAUUUAUGAUUUUGUAUAUAUACUCUUAUGUAAUUCUCUCUCUUAGAUAUGAACAUUUUACCAGAUCCGUGAAACCAAACUGAAACCGAUCUGGAAAUAUUGGUGCUGUUUGGUUUUGGAUCUAGGGCAAAGUACAUAUUCAAUUUUAUUUUUGGACCCGCAAGUUUUCUUUGAGUCAAUAUCCUAACCGAGAUCCAACCUAAUACCCAAGUACCUGAAUUGUUUUGUGUAUAUUAAGUAUAUUCGAGUAUUUUAGAUAUGUUUUCGGUAUUGUUUUGCGGAGGUUUGAGUUCCAGUGGUUCUUUAUUUCAUUGUCUGUUCGCCCUGGAAGCCUCCCAGCUAUCAACGACCAUCUGCUUUACGCCGCUAACUUUUUUUUAGAAAGGAAGAGAAUGUUAUGUAUUUUGGUGAAAGCAAACGUUAGUAACCUGUUUCCAAGGAGAUUAUGGAGGCGGAUUAUAAGUUCUUCUUCAUCAGAUGAGAUGUUUCCGCGCUUUAUGCCUGGUCUCAAGUAGUUCUUCCACCGAAGUCUGCAGCUUUUGCCACACCUCUUGAGACCUUUAUAUUUGCGGAAACAAUGAUUUUAAACAUAUUGAUAUAAUCUUACAAUCAUUAAAAAGAAAAAUAAAAGAUGCACGGAUAUGUACCAGCUUGGUUUGGGAGUGUGCUCCAUUUUCCUUCGCCGUGGAACAUGAUAUAGUCUUUAAGGAUCUUGUCUUCUUGAUCGGUCCAAGCUCCUCUGUUUAACUCCUCUUUCUUCACCCUACUACUUUCUCUCUUUCUCAUCAUCUCUCUUGUUGUUGUGUGGUUGGUAGACUUGUCUUUAGCGUUGUGUUGAGAAUAGAUUAUGUUUCUGUGUAAAACCAAGUAUCUUUAUAGGGAGUUGUUGCAAUGUCCGUUACAUCAGUCGCUUUCCAUAACCUCUGUCACACACACACUUUUUAGUUUCAAUGCUUUUCUCACUUCACACCAUGAUUUACUAGUCUAGUCUUACGUGCUAAGUCUCUAACUGUCUAGUUCCUAAACCGACCUUGAUCAUCAUCGUAUAACAAAUUAGGCAUGACUGUGAAUGAUUGGUGAAAAUAGUCAUUCCUAGUCGCAUUCUAGCUUGUAAGCAACCAUCUUCACUGAACUAAGUGGUAAGAGCAUCCGCACUGCUAAUUGUUAAAAUUAAAUACUCACAAACAAAAAUAAUAAUUGUUAUUUUAACAUAAUAUAACUAAUACUAUUUAAGUUCCAAAAAUAACUAAUACUAUUAAAACAAAAAUAAAAUUAUGAAAAUAACUUUAUAUUUUCGUUUUAUGUUACAAAAAAUGCCACUAUAGUUUAUAACAAUCCCUAAUAUAUAUAUAUAUAUAUUUCUAAAAGGAAAUAAUCAAAAAGAUAUUCGUACAAGCAUUUCUAAGAUUACACUAAUAAAUUUUACUAUAUCUUUUUGUGUCAAAUAUAAAUACAUAAUUAUAUUUAAUGGUAUUAUAACUUUAUAUAAAUGUAAAUAACUAAAUACUCUUGUAAUGAAUAUUAAACAAUUAUUAUCCAUUGCUAUUAAUUUAAUUUUUAAUUAUACACAUAAAAGAAAAUUUAUAAUAUUAUAUAUAAAACAUUAUAGCAUUAUAGCAUUAUUACAUUAAAUAAUAAAUACACUUAAAUAACUUAAUCUAUUCAUUAAUUUGUAAAUUAAAAAAUUAAAUUAAAGUAACUUUACACACAAAAUAACAAAAAAAAAUCUAGAAUUCAUAAUAUUAAGUCAAUGAUAAUCAUUUUAAUUUAAUUAUUUAAAAUAUUAUAAAAGUAAAUAUUAAAUCAUUGAUAAUAAUUUAAUUUAAUAUUUUAUAUAUAUAUAUAUUCAAUAUUAAAUAAAUAUAUAUAUCAUAUCAAUAUAUAUUUACUUGAUAUAAAUAAAAUAUUAAAAGAUUUAUUUACGCUUGAUAUUUGACCAAUACGCGACAUGUUAAAGGAUGUAUUACUCCGUCUUAAAUUUAAUAAAACUAAAAUAAAUGAAAAACACAUAAAAUGAGUUAUUCUAAUUUGAUUAUUAUAUAGUUAUAUUUAUACAAAACUACAAUCAACUAUAGAAUAUUAAUUUAAGGAAAUUUUAUACCAACAUAUGUUAUACCGUAAAAAAAAUAUUGCAGCUCAACUCCAUAUCAAACUUAUAAUGAUUACUUUAUUUAAUAAAAUAUGUUUAAAAUUAUGAUAUUGCAUCAUAGUACUGAUUAAUUAAUAGCAUAACUAUAAAUAAUUUUUUUUUACAAUUUGUAUAUAUAAUUACUCUUUCCAAAUCUAGAAUACGAAUAUGUUAACAACUCAAAUUAAAGCUUUGGUUUUAUUUGACAGAUUUAAGUCUAAAAUACUAAAUUUAUAGACAUGUAAUAAAACUAAAAAUAACAUUUCUCAUAAAUUAUUUUCAUCUAAUUUUUAAAUAUUUAAAUUAAUAUAAAUAGAAUAGAGAUUAUAAUUUUGUUAGAUUCAAAACUUAGUUUUAAGAAACAAUAAAAAUAAAUAAUGUACACAAACUUAAAUAAAAUAUAUAAAAAUAAAAUACAUAAAUUAUGUAUGCACUUAUAAUUUCUAUUAAAUAAAAUUUUGUAAGGAAAAAUAGUUGUGCACUUUAAAAGCUUGAAUCAAAAUCUAGUUAUCGAAAUAAAUUUUAAGUCAAAGAAGAAAGAUAAGCGAAAAACGUAUGUCCAAAGGAGUUUUGUUGAGUUUCUUGAAAAUUUUCAAGUGAGAAACUCUUUCUUUCUUCUACUUUUACUUUUUAUUUCACUAUUUUAUUGGAAAGAUAUUUAUUGAGUUUCUACCGGUGGAUAUGUUCUAACACUUAUGACAGUUCAGUAAUUUCAUAAUUGGAUCUAUCUUAAAACUCUGAUAUGUUCCAAAGGAGAAAUAUUUUUGUCAAGUGGAGCUUAGGUUAAAGCUCGCGUGACAUGACAGACUUCUUGGAUGUCUUAGAUUUUUACAAAAGUCUCUCUCUCUCGAGGUUUGAAAGUCUUUGGAAAUGACUACCUGAUAAAUCAAAUAGGGAAUUGUUAAGUUGCAUGUGCUUUUCAUAGAUUUCCAACUUAAAACUAUGGACUGAUUUUAUCUUUUUAUAUAUUAGUUAAUUAUUUAUUCAAUUACCGAUGUGUGAUUUUCAUUCAUUAACAUUUUUCUCACAUUCAAACAUAGAAAAUUUUGAGAAUAAUAUCCAUAGAUUGAUGCAAUAUCAGAUGGUUUUGGCUUUGAUACUAUGUAAAAUUAUUGCUUAUCAUGAGAUUCUAAAUUAAAAUCAUCUGGCGAUAAAUGGAUUUGUUCAAAUUUGUUAUAUAUUUUUGACGUGUUUUAUGUUAUAUUUUCGACGUGGAAUAUUUUAUGUAACACUAACACCCUCACUCGAGAUAAGCAUAUAAAUAUAAUCUAUUCAGGACGAACAAAUAACAUAUAUUAUUCAUACUCUAAAGCUAGAUUGAUGACAAAAAAGAAGAAGCUAGAUUUGCCAUUCUUCUUCAUAUUCAAUCAGUUUUACCCGUUGAAGACUAUUUGGUUCUAAAACAUUAAGAUAAAUCCUAGUUGAAGUACAUUUUCCAUCGCCCAUAUCAGAGUUUUAAAUUUAACAGGAGGUUGACCUGAUCUUGUCCAAAAGAACCAAAGAAAUUACUGUCCUUCUUCCAGCUCUGUGACUACCUCCACGCUGAAAGUAUUCUUAGCUUUUUCAAAAUGCAUCCAUUGAGAUCUUGGUUUCAGCGAAGCAAAAACUUUUUCAUUGGGUACAAGUAGUUCUCUUCAAGGUCCUCUCCUAUUUCCACAGGACUUGGAAAACUUCUCAUUCAUUUGAUUCAUAAAUAGCGAGUUGAGUUGUAGUGUAUCUAUUAGUAAUAAAUUUUGAUAGUUGAAAACUUCAGAUGGGAUAGCCGGAUCACCAAGUUUGCAAGACUUGUUGACAUUGGAGAAAGCAUCCUGAAUCAACUUCAGUGUCUUUAAAUAUAUGGCUUAAAGCACAAAUAGGAAUUGGGUUUAAAAUUACCCUUUUCUUUAGCUCAGAAUGCUAAAAUAUUAACCAUGAUCUUUUGAUAACCAAAUUCUUGAAAUUCUCAGGUUGUUUCUUACCUUAUUACUUGAAAGUUGAAAUGCUUUGAUUUCUUCAGUGCAGAAUGCUAGAAUAUUGCAAUUUAUCAAUAUAUAUAUAUAUAAACUCUGUUAGUUAUUGUAACGGUACAGAAUUAAGGUGAAGGUGAUGCUUGACUGGGGCCCCAAGGGAAAAUUUGGCCCGCCGUUGCCUGCUGUUGUGAUCAUCUAUGCUCCAAAAGAAGCUUCACUAACCGCCACAGAUUACCCUGAAAUCCCAGUGGCUUGAAGAGGCCUUUUUGCGUGUUUGGUUUACUACAUGGGGAUGGUUCUCUUUUGGGACAGUAUUUUAUUUUCUCAUAUUAUUCUAAUAUAUUAUAAGUUCUGGAGAUAAAAAUAUAAUCUUGAGACCAACGGGAAAUUGUCAAAUAUAAGAUAGAAGAAGAAUGCAAGAGUUCAUUAUAACAUGAAUUGACAAAUCAUUACCAUACUAUAAUGACAGACAGAUAUCUCUCGUCCUUAGCCUCUCUUAACAGGAUCAAAGUUGGAGACACCAACAACCACACCGAUGAUGACCGUGAGCACCACCCCUCCCGCGGCAAUGCUAAGCAAGAAGUUCUUGAGAGAGGGAGAGACUCCGGAGCCUGCGGCUUCAGCCACCUCAGGGAUCACCAUUGAAACGGUGAGAGCUGCUGCUGCUAAGCCGCUCACAGCCUUCUCCAUCUUCAGGUUAGAUGCAUUCACUUGAAACCUCCGUGAAGGCAUGGCUAAGGAGGAGGAUGACGCCUUAGAUGGCUUCAAAGGCAAUAGUGGCUUGCGUAAGGCUACAGUUUUUGUCGACGACGGCGAUCGGUUUUGGGUGAGUGGCAUGAACAAUGACACGGCGGAGGUAGAAGCCAUCUCUUUUUCUCUCCUCUUCUUUCUUUUCGAGUUUGUUUGGCAAUAUGAGUUUGGUCUAUGAGAAGAAACAUAAGAUAUGGGGUCAUAUGAGGAGUGGGAGAUAUGUGUCUUACGUGGCAGUUUCUGAGCUUGGAAGUCCGAUUCUUUAGAUAAGGUUAUCUUCAUUUUAAUUUGCUUUCUUUUCGAUUUUUUAUUUUGUCUACUAUUAUUUUAUUGCCAGCAGUUUUUUUUGUAAAAAAAUAUUCUAUUGAAAUUGCAUGAGAAUUAAAAGGUUUUACAGUGCUAGCCCACAGUAGGUCAAGUGGCCAUACAUAUUUAGAAGAUACAAACUUGAAUCAGAAUUAUUCAGAAGAGGAUGUAGAAUCAUGUUGAAAACCACAAUUGGAGAGGUGAGGAAGAGAACAUCGGCUUGUCAAUCCUUAGGUUGGAAGCUCUGUUUUUUAUAGUUUGCAUUAUCUGCCUUACCAAACCAUCAGAAGAUGAGUAUUGAGCGUUGUGUAGACGGUUGUUCCUCUCUGUCCACAGUGUGUAAAGAGUUGCUUGCCAGCAUAGAAGAAGCAGAGUCUUGCACACCUUGUUUGUGGAGUGUUGUUGAAGCUGGUGUAAGAUCGUUUGCCACUGCCUGGAAGAGUUGAAACUACACUUUAAAGAAACAGUUUUCCAAAUAUCCCAAGUGAAGUUGCAUUCAAAGAAGCAGUGGACGAUAGACUCAUCCGAAACAUUAUAGUACAGACAUUUAGGGUCUGUUUGCAGUCCCCAACUCAGUAUCCUAUCUCUGGUGGGCACCUGUUUUUCACCAUCAACCACACUAAGAACAUAUGCUUUGGGAUACCUCCCGAGAACCAUACCUCGCAAUGCCAUGAAACCGUAGGGGUAGAGGAGCGAAGCAGAACAUAGAUCUUACCCGUUUGGAACCUCAGCUGCUUUUGAUCCCCAGGCCACCAUUCAGGUUCAUCACUGUAGUCAGUUAGGGAGAAAGUAGUGAGAUAAGAGAUGACCUCUACUUGUCUGUCUGAGCGUGCAUUUGGAACGACCCAUGCUCCUUUCUCACAUUGUUCAGCAAUAGUAGCAUUUUUGGUUACUGGAAGACGCAUUGCACCGGCGGUUUGAAGGUAGUCAGAUAGCUUUCCAUAGGGAGACCAGUUGGUAGACUAGAAGUAAGUAGUUUCACCGUUUUGAACAUGUUGCCUAAUCCAAGGGUAGAUAAUUUCCCUAGCAUGUUCCUCAAAUUUUUUCAAAACACUUAGAAUGGCUAGGAUAGAGGAGAGGGACCGUCAGAGAAGAUCAGUAGAUCAUCUGCGAACGACAGAUGGGUGAGCUUUGUUUUUUCACAGUGAGGGUGAUACUGAAAAGAGCCUGUUGGUGCUGCUUUUUCCAGGGCUAGAGAUAGACAAUUCAUGACCAGAACAAAGAUGUAAGGGGAGAGAGGAUCACCCUGCCUCAGACCUCUUUUCCCUUUAAAAUAUCCAUACGUAGAACCAUUGAAAGCCACAGAGAAGGAAGGCGUGCAUACACAAGCCUCCAGCCAUCGAAUCAAGGUCUCAAGUAUAUUGUAGCUCCUCAAACAAGCAAAUAAAAACUCCCAUCGGAUAGUAUCAAAAGCUUUUGCAAUGUCGACCUUAAUGGUGAUCCUCUUUUCCCAUCCUUUCCUAUGGCACCCUUGAACAAUCUCCGAUGCCAAUAGAGUGUUCUCAAUCAACAACCUGCCUUAAAAAAACGCAGUAUGAUUGGGCAAGAUGAACUACGGUAGUAUGAGCUUUAAUCUCUUUACCAGCAGUGUCGAUAUUGUCUUAUAGGUUGUAUUACAACAAGAGAUUGGUCUGUAGUCCGCAACACAUAAAGCACCAGGUUUUUUAGGACCAAAGUGAGAAUAGUAGCGUUGGUAGAUCGAGGAAGAAAGUAGGAGGUGAAGAAAUUUGAGAUAGCAUGCAGAACCUCGCACCCCACAAUAGACCAGGCAGAACCUCGCUCCCCACAAUAUUGCCUGCUGUUUCUUAUUGGUGAUCACAAAAACAAAAAGUACACUUUACCACUUAUUGCAUUUUACAAAAAAAUAAAUAAAAGAAAACUGCCAGAAAAUUAAUCUGUUAUAGUUGUCAAAAAAAAAUCUUUUAUAUAUGGGAAAUUAGGUGAUAUAACCAAACAAAAACCCAUAGUUCAUUAUAUAACCAAAAUCACAUCUUUUUCCUCUUCUCUCUUCCUAUCUCUCUUUACUCUCUUUCUACAAAACUAAUUUUACCUUUUUUUGGUUAUAUCACAAAUAAGCCUUUAAUAUAUCUCUUAAUAUUAUUUGAAAAACAGUGCGACAUUUAAUUUAUAUCAUAUGUUAUCAUUAAAAUGAUUUUUAGAAUUUUUAGAAAAAUAAAAAAUCAAUAUGACUGAGUAUAUUACAACUUUACAACUGAGUUACGAAGAAGUUGUUGUUAAUAUGUUGUUAACUAACCACGAAUUUGCGAUUGUUCAUUGUUAAUUUGUGGUCAACCACAUGUAUUAAGAGAUUCACGGUUUACGGUUUAGGGAUUCAAGGUAUGCUAGUGAAUUCAUCGUAAACCUGAAAAUUCAAGAUCGUGUUCAUUCCUCAUAAAAGAUAUUACCCGUGCAUUUGUCGUAAAUCGAAAAGUUAAAAACUCAUUCAUUUGUAGUAAAAAUAUAUGAAUCAUUAAUUCAUUGUAAAUCGAAAACACGGUUCAUACUACAUUCGUCGUAAACAAAAAAUGUGGUUCCUACUAAAUUCAUUGUAAAUAAAAAAUGCGGUUCCUCCUAAAUUCAUCAUAAAUAAAAAAACAUGGGACCUAGUGAGUUCGUCAUUAAUUUACGAUGAAUUUACGAGGGACCAUUAUUUCUUAUAUAAGCCCAACCCAUUUCUCCCAACUCGUCGGCCAUUCUUAGCUUCCUAAGCUCUGUCCUCCCUGCGAAAAAUUAAAGGUUAAUUUUUUCUUAGUAAACUUUGGUUGUUGUUAGUUUUGUUAGAUUAGUCGAAUUAGCUUAGGUCCCAAGAAUUAUAUUAGGUUACGUACAAAAUACAUUACUUAACAUAAUUAUUUUAUAUAUGAUGACCAAUUUAAUUAUUUAUAACUAUUUUUUUUAGAUGGCUCCUAGAGAGUGAGUAAGCAAGAAGAAUUGUCCACAUUAUAGUGAGACCUUCGGUACCGGAGAUAUAUUGGGUUAUAUUUCCUCCGCUUCUACUUCAGUUCCGGAGGCUCAGUCCCGGAUAGCUCCACUACCACGAACCCUAUAUUGCUCCCGGAGAUAUAUCGGGUUAUAGUUCCUCCGCUUCUACUUCAGUUCUGAAAGCUCAGUCUCAGACAGCUCCACCACCACCCCUGAUUGCUCCCGGAGAUAUAUCGGGGUAUAGUUCCUCCGCUUCUACUUCAGUUCCGGAGACUCAGUCUCAGACAAGUCCACCACCACCACCACCCCUGAUUGCUCCCGCAGCGCCUCUGGUUCCUCCCGCUGUGCCUCACAUUGCUUCGGGUCUUCAUCCGGAUUUGAUGGUGCCAUCCAAAGCUCCGUACGCUCAACAAACCGUCGUGGACCUUCACCCAACCAGGACGAGAAGAUUUAUGUGUAUUGGAUCCCGAUCGACCGCCAAACACUCUGGUACGUUUUAAUUUGUUUUAGAUGAAUAAUUUUGUUUUUCAAGUUUUCUAGUACUUUUAUGUAAUUUUGCAGGUUUUGACUUGACGGUUAAGAGUCGAGAAGCAUUUCAAACACAACUAAGAGAUAUUUCAUCGAGCUACAUUCCAGCUAGAAUCUCAUACCAGGACAUAUAUCCACACUACAAGGUUUAAAUGUUUUGCAGCAAAAAAAAUUUUAAUAUUUAAUUUUAAAUAUAUAUUUUUCUAAAUAUACAUAAUUAUUUUUUAUUGUUGUGGCAGAAAGAAUGGAAUUGGUCUAUUGGCAUCAAAGAGCAUGUGAAAAAGGCGUUUAUCACCAAGGUGAAGAUACAAUUAGCGAAUGUUUUUUUUUUCUUUUUUUUGUUGAAAUGUUAAAUUUAUUUAUCAACAAAAGAAAAAAGUUUACAAUACGGAAGUGUUUGAGAAAUCAGGAAACAAAGUUAGCUAAGAAGAAAAACGUGAAAUUACUCAUUCCUUCCCAUCCAACGAAUCAUCAGAGCACUGCACUUCUCUGCACUCUUGUAACAUAGCGAGGAGAUGUGAUUGCGUAUAGUCUUGUCUAUGAACCGCGUGAGCUGUUGAGCUGUACGGUAAGCGCCUGUGUGUUUCCUGCUGUUCCGUUCCCUCCACACACACUGUGUAUUACAGCUUGGAAGGAGAGCCGAAGAAGACAUGAGUCAAUGUUAGACCUGCGAGGCGAUAACAUCAUUGUAACUGUGAUGCCCCAGUCUGGGUUUGGUCUAGGCAGGAGAGAGCUUGUGAGCUCUCUCCAAAUCGUGUAUGAAUACGGACACGCAAAAAAGAGAUGGUCGCGGGACUCGUUUGGCUCACCACACUAUCGACAUGACUGAUGCUCGCCCCAUAUUUGAGUAUGGUCACCAGUCGAGAGCCUAUUGCGGAUGUCCAGCCACGCGAUGAACGAGUAGCGAGGAACAGCGUGUGAGAACCAGAUUAGCUUGCUCCACUCCACUGUGUCGCCUUGUCUUCUUAUCUGAUUCCAAGUGUUCUUCGAAGAGAACCAUGCUUUGUAGUCAUUCUCCCUGUGACGCCAGAGCAAACAGUCGCUGCCUGCCUCCUCUACCGGCGGUGGUACUGAGUUGAUGCGUGUAAUCAUCGCCCGUAGGUGAUCACUACGACACCGCCUUAAGUUCCACCUUCCAGAAGAGGCAGCAGACGCAACUGUUGCAUAGCGUUGGAUGCCCAUGAUUUGAGUACCAGAGUUGCCUGCAACAUCAAUCAACUUACCUAUCUCCAACCAAUUAUCGAACCAGAAAAGAGUGUCUUUACCGUUGUGAAUUUCAGAUCGUAGAAAGGUUGCUGCCUGCUGCCGAAGCUUGAGGAGCUUGCGCCAUAUCCACGAUCCUGAUGAUUUAUCACUGACAUCCCAAAAGCAACGAUUCCGCAAUAGAUUUCUUCUGGUCCAAGCAACCCAAAGGGAAUCUGAGUUUGUAAGUAGUCUCCAUAUUAGACAUAAAGCAAAAACCCGAGAUGUGCCUGCCAUACACCUGAUGCCAAGACCGCCUUCAUUCUUUGGUUUACAUACAUCCUCCCAUGAGACUUUUUCUCUGGUGGUGGAGUUCGGUGAUCCAGACCAUAGGAAGGCACUGCACAUGCUCUCGAUAGUUUCAAGACAUCGCUUUGGAAGGCGGAACACUGAGCACCAGAAGUUAGCGAAUGUUUUUGCUAAAUGUAAAGAAGAAGAGUUUGUUAAAAUCAAAAUAUAAAAACUUAUGAAAACCAACAACAAGAUAUAUAUAUAUAUAUAACUCCAGUUUAUUCUCGGGUCGUUAUGUGUAAUGAUAAUGUUUUUGGAACGACAAUGUUUUUGCUUUAUAUACUGUAAAUGUACUUGUUUAGGAACGAGAAUUGGACAUAGAUAACGAAGCCUAACAGUGGUAGGGCGGCCUGCUCCGAGGAGUAAACUUCCCCGCACGCAAAGAAAGACGAUUCAAACAGUAAGCUACUCGUAGACUGCACCUACCUUCGCUCAAAGCCAGAAACAACCACUUUGACUUACACAAGCAACAAGGCUAAUGAUGACUCCCGAAGCAUCUCCCUGACAUGGUCACUACGAGACGGAAGGAAAGAGGAGGAAGGAUCUAUAUAUAUGAGCAUCCAAUGAAGCAGAAAGGCAUCAUCACGAGUUCGAGAGAGAAAGCUAUUGACUACUUGUUUAUCAUUUCUUAUAUUUGUAGGCACCAAAUUUACUAGAUAGGCAUUUGAUAUGUAAAGCAAAAAUCUACAAAUAACAUGAACAAAAAAUACAACAAUAUAAUACCGUAGUUGGAAAAGAACCAGAAUGAAGCAGAGUCGAGAUUAACAUCUCUUUCCUUAAUCCUUUAAACGCCCGUAGUGUGCCGGUUUCAUACGUUUAAGAAUCCCAGGAUAUAACUGCUUAUAUCUUCAGUUACAAAAGAAAAAAGUUUACAAUACGGAAGUGUUUGAGAAAUCAGGAAACAAAGUUAGCUAAGAAGAAAAACGUGAAAUUACUCAUUCCUUCCCAUCCAACGAAUCAUCAGAGCACUGCACUUCUCUGCACUCUUGUAACAUAGCGAGGAGAUGUGAUUGCGUAUAGUCUUGUCUAUGAACCGCGUGAGCUGUUGAGCUGUACGGUAAGCGCCUGUGUGUUUCCUGCUGUUCCGUUCCCUCCACACACACUGUGUAUUACAGCUUGGAAGGAGAGCCGAAGAAGACAUGAGUCAAUGUUAGACCUGCGAGGCGAUAACAUCAUUGUAACUGUGAUGCCCCAGUCUGGGUUUGGUCUAGGCAGGAGAGAGCUUGUGAGCUCUCUCCAAAUCGUGUAUGAAUACGGACACGCAAAAAAGAGAUGGUCGCGGGACUCGUUUGGCUCACCACACUAUCGACAUGACUGAUGCUCGCCCCAUAUUUGAGUAUGGUCACCAGUCGAGAGCCUAUUGCGGAUGUCCAGCCACGCGAUGAACGAGUAGCGAGGAACAGCGUGUGAGAACCAGAUUAGCUUGCUCCACUCCACUGUGUCGCCUUGUCUUCUUAUCUGAUUCCAAGUGUUCUUCGAAGAGAACCAUGCUUUGUAGUCAUUCUCCCUGUGACGCCAGAGCAAACAGUCGCUGCCUGCCUCCUCUACCGGCGGUGGUACUGAGUUGAUGCGUGUAAUCAUCGCCCGUAGGUGAUCACUACGACACCGCCUUAAGUUCCACCUUCCAGAAGAGGCAGCAGACGCAACUGUUGCAUAGCGUUGGAUGCCCAUGAUUUGAGUACCAGAGUUGCCUGCAACAUCAAUCAACUUACCUAUCUCCAACCAAUUAUCGAACCAGAAAAGAGUGUCUUUACCGUUGUGAAUUUCAGAUCGUAGAAAGGUUGCUGCCUGCUGCCGAAGCUUGAGGAGCUUGCGCCAUAUCCACGAUCCUGAUGAUUUAUCACUGACAUCCCAAAAGCAACGAUUCCGCAAUAGAUUUCUUCUGGUCCAAGCAACCCAAAGGGAAUCUGAGUUUGUAAGUAGUCUCCAUAUUAGACAUAAAGCAAAAACCCGAGAUGUGCCUGCCAUACACCUGAUGCCAAGACCGCCUUCAUUCUUUGGUUUACAUACAUCCUCCCAUGAGACUUUUUCUCUGGUGGUGGAGUUCGGUGAUCCAGACCAUAGGAAGGCACUGCACAUGCUCUCGAUAGUUUCAAGACAUCGCUUUGGAAGGCGGAACACUGAGCACCAGAAGUUAGCGAAUGUUUUUGCUAAAUGUAAAGAAGAAGAGUUUGUUAAAAUCAAAAUAUAAAAACUUAUGAAAACCAACAACAAGAUAUAUAUAUAUAUAUAACUCCAGUUUAUUCUCGGGUCGUUAUGUGUAAUGAUAAUGUUUUUGGAACGACAAUGUUUUUGCUUUAUAUACUGUAAAUGUACUUGUUUAGGAACGAGAAUUGGACAUAGAUAACGAAGCCUAACAGUGGUAGGGCGGCCUGCUCCGAGGAGUAAACUUCCCCGCACGCAAAGAAAGACGAUUCAAACAGUAAGCUACUCGUAGACUGCACCUACCUUCGCUCAAAGCCAGAAACAACCACUUUGACUUACACAAGCAACAAGGCUAAUGAUGACUCCCGAAGCAUCUCCCUGACAUGGUCACUACGAGACGGAAGGAAAGAGGAGGAAGGAUCUAUAUAUAUGAGCAUCCAAUGAAGCAGAAAGGCAUCAUCACGAGUUCGAGAGAGAAAGCUAUUGACUACUUGUUUAUCAUUUCUUAUAUUUGUAGGCACCAAAUUUACUAGAUAGGCAUUUGAUAUGUAAAGCAAAAAUCUACAAAUAACAUGAACAAAAAAUACAACAAUAUAAUACCGUAGUUGGAAAAGAACCAGAAUGAAGCAGAGUCGAGAUUAACAUCUCUUUCCUUAAUCCUUUAAACGCCCGUAGUGUGCCGGUUUCAUACGUUUAAGAAUCCCAGGAUAUAACUGCUUAUAUCUUCAGUUUCACAGCACUUGAGAACCAAAGCCUGUCGAACCUAUUUCUAUGUUAUACUCUUAGACACAAAACAAAAAAGAAGUAGGAGACAGUAGCUUUGUUUGUAUUGGAUGAGUUUCUUUAGAAUGAGAAGAGCAUGGCUUAUAUAUAUAAUAUAAAGUUUAUCGUGUGCUACAAUGAGCACUAAAUGGAGAUGACAUUUUUUUAUUCCUUCGUAAUGACUAUUAAGAGGUGAUUGAUUUUCAUAUGUUACGAAAAUAAAUUCACACAAUCACCUUGACAUUGGUCAAAGAUUUAGUCAAGAAGUAAUGAAUGUCUUGGUCAAAAACAUGAGAGUCAUUCUCUACACCAAGAGAUAAUAAGCUUGCAUUAUUUAUUUAAAUAAUUAGCAUAUGAAUUUGGGCUAACAAGAUUAAUCUUGUUUUUAAUUCCAAAACUUGAUCUAGCUCGAGUAUCUAUUUUCUUAAUACACCAAAGUGUCUACAAAGUUUUUAUAACUUUGUUUUAGUUUCUCCAUUUAUAUAGAAGAGGUGACGACGAAAAAAAAUAUAAGAUGAUUUCCACCUCAUAUUUCUAAUAUGAAUAUUUUAAAAUAAUUUCAUAUUAGACUUUCAUUUCUCAUUCAAACGAAUUUUGUUUUUGACAUAUGAUUACACUAUAUUAUAAUGCUCAUAACAAUGAAUCCAACGAUUCCACAAUCCGGUCAUUCCGCAAUCAAAUUGUUCGAAAAAAUCACCGGAAUAUUGACCAUAGCUAUUUGUUCAAAAAACAGUUCCAACAAUAUUUCCUCUUCGAAAAAUAGUUUAAACACUUCAAUUUACAAAAUCUUUGACCCUUAAAUCUCUUUAUUUUUGUUUGAUUAGUCCCUAAACUAGAUUACUAGCCUUAGGAUUCAACAAUGACUGUGAAUGCUUGGUGAAAAUAGCCAUUCCUAGUUGCAUUCUAUCUUUGUAAGAAACCAUCUUCACUGGACUAAGUGGCAAGAGCAUCCUCAUUAUAAAUUGUUAAGAUACUCUCAAACAAAAUAACACUAUUAUUUGGAUGGCGGCUCUGAAUACCCUAGCAAGCGAAGGCGAUGGCGGCGACGCGAGUGAAAGUGACGCCACGGCGGCUCUGUCUAUUCAGGCUUUGGGGGUAAUCGGGAUAGCUACUGAGCCUGCGGCUGAGGAGAUGACGAAGCAGGGGAAUGCAGCGAUUGUUGAUGGCAAGCGCCAGAGUGAUGGAUCUCCACGUUCUGCUCCUUGGGCGAAGAAGAAGAUGGGAGGAGGCGAACCAGAAGCCAUUGUAGAUGUAGUGGAUGGUGUUGCCUCGCUUCAGAUUCCCGAAGAGAUUUUUGAUGAGGCGGAGCUCCUGUGGAAAAGCUAUGUGGUGGGUUAUUUCAUUGGAGAUGCUCCUCAUGUAGGUUCAAUUCACGCAACUGUCAAUCGUAUCUGGUCUGCUCCCAAGGCGGGUACAAAGAUCGAUGUCCAGUUCAUUGAAAAGAAUACAGUUUUGUUUCGCAUUGAGAACAGCCAGAUGAGGAGUCGUGUGAUUCAAAGGAAAUAUUGGCACAUUGCGGAUAUCCCUUUGGUAGUCAAUGUUUGGACUCCAGAGUCUGCAUUGCACCCUCCAGAUCUUUCGGCUAUGCCUCUGUGGGUUGAUCUUAAGGGAGUUCCAAACAACCUUUACUCUCACAAGGGACUGAAGUGCUUAUCCAAAGCAGUCGGUCAGUUUGUGAAACUUCACCCGAGUACGGAAAAGUGUGUGAGGCUUGAUGUGGCCAGAGCUCUUGUGGAGGUCAACUUACACCAACCUCUGGUGGAGAAAAUCUCUUUUAAGGAUAAUGCUGGCUUUGCGCAUGAAGUGGAAGUUAAUUUUCCUUGGCUCCCUCCUCGUUGUAGUGUCUGUCGCAGGUGGGGCCAUAAAGGUCAGGACUGUUCGAGUAAGGAGAUCCGAAUCCUAAAUAAUAAGGUAGAGGAGACAGCAGCGUCUUUGUUUGCUGUUAUACCUCACGGGGGAGACAAGGCUGGAGACAGGGUUGAAGAGGUGGAGGGAAACGAGGUAGUAACUGUGGAGGAAGAUGUGAGUAAGGAAGGGAAUGUUUUUGAGAAUCUGAUUCAGGAUUUGGAAGCGCUUACGCCUGUGGCUAAUAACGUUGCUGCGCUGGAAGGCAUUAAGCUAACUGAGCCUACUACAGAGGUUUUUCACACCAAUGGGGUUGGCGCUUGGGAAAAUGGUCGAGGAAUGAAACAGGUGGGUGAUACUGGUGGGGAAGGGGCUAUAAUAAUCUCUCCUUCACGUUUCAGUCCCUUACAGGGUAUCGUAGAGGAGGAGGAGGAUGCUAUGGUGGAGAAUGGGAAGGAAGUUGAAGAGGGUGAAAUAUUAGAGACUAAUGUUGAUGGAAAGAAAGUUCCAGGAGUGCAGGUUUCAAAUCGGGGUAGAAAGUUCCAGGAGUGCAGGUUUCAAAUCGGGGUAGAAAGCCUGGAUCGGCUCAGAAGCAGAUGCGGGGAAGAUUGUUCGAACUAAAGACCUGAUAUAUGCUGGCAAGCAAGGGACAACAAAAAAAACUUCCGUUAGGAAGUUAUGACGUCUCUCUUUGCAUGGAAUAUGCGUGGAUUCAACUUACCACGCAAGCAUAGAGCACUUAAAGCAUGGUUGCAAGUGGAGAAGCCUUCUUUUGGGUGCCUAGUAGAGACGAGAGUGCAGGAGUCUAAUCAUCAGUGGUGCAUGAGUGCUGCCAUGCCAGGUUGGAAAUCCCUCACGAACUACAACUACCAUCCCUUGGGCAGGAUUUGGGUCUGCUGGUCUGAUCAAGUUAUUGUCACGCAACUGCAUAUGAGCGCACAGGUAAUCACGUGUGCAAUCCAGGUGCCUAGUACUGGAGAGCAAUUUGUGUGCUCUGCUGUCUAUGCAUACAAUACUGCAGUGGAUCGAAUUCGAUUAUGGGAAGAGCUGAGAGGAGCAAAAGCUGCCUAUGAUCAUUUGAACCUCCCUUGGAUAUUGAUAGGAGACUUCAACGAAACUUUGGCCUCUUCUGAGCAUUCUCGCGCAAUGGAUUAUCGCAGAGAUAUGUCUGGCAUGAGGCAUUUCCAGGAAGCAAUGACAGACUGCUCUGUCAUGGAUUUACCCUUCACUGGUGCAUUGUUUACGUGGUGGAACAAUCGAGUUGCGGACCCUAUUGGAAAGAAGUUGGACAGAGCGUUGGUUAAUCAGAAUUGGCUCAGUCGUUACCCACUCUCUUCAGCACAAUUUGAUGCUGGUGGAAUUUCGGAUCAUGCAAGGUGCUUGGUUCGUACAGCAGGAGUUACAAAUGAUGCUAGGAAGCCAUUUCGGUUUUUCAACUUUCUGGCUGAGCACAAGGAUUUCUUGCCGACGGUUCAGAGAGUCUGGGACACGAGCGCCGCUCUCUACCCCUCCAGGACAGCACUCUCCCUUUUCCAUAGGAAGCUGAAGCUUCUUAAGCAACCGCUUCGGGAGUUGAACAAGACACACUAUGGAAACUUGCCAGCCCGCACUAAGCAAGCUUAUAAUGAGCUUUGUGAAUGUCAAAACAGAGUAUUACAGGAUCCAUCGCCUGACAACGUUGCAAGGGCGGCUGAGGCAGCAGAGAGAUGGAAUGUUUUGGCUCGUAUUGAGGAAAAAUUCUACAGGCAGAAGUCAUGUGUCCGAUGGCUUACGGCAGGAGAUCAGAAUACAACAUUUUUCCACAAUAUGGUUCAGAUGAGAAUAGCUAAAAACACGAUCAGGAGUUUGGUGACAGCGCAGGGAGAAGUGCUCACAACAUUGUCAGAUAUUAAAAAAGAAGCAGUGUCUCAUUUUCAAUCUUUUCUGCAAGGACAAGAUCCGACUACUGAGGACAUUACUGUUGAUGCUCUACAAGAUCUGUUAACAUAUAGAUGCUCUCGGGACGACUCAGCUUGUUUAGUUCGGCCGGUCACUGCUGCAGAAAUACAGCAAGCGCUCCGCUCUCUCCCAAAUGAUAAAGUAUCUGGGCCUGACGGUUUCACCAAAGAAUUUUUCAUUGCAGCGUGGCCAGUCAUUGGACGGGACUUCAUUGUGGCAAUCCAGUCUUUCUUCAUAUUCGGGUUUAUGCCUACCGGAGUGAAUGCCACCAUACUCUCCUUGAUUCCUAAGACAACUACUGCUCAGACUAUGAAGGAUUACCGGCCCAUCGCGUGUUGCAACCUUCUCUACAAGGUGAUCUCUAAAGUCUUAGCCAAUAGACUGAAGAUAAUUUUCCCUGCUGCAGUUGAAGCUAAUCAGUGUGCAUUUAUCACUGAGCGUUUACUUCUGGAAAACGUCUUACUCGCUUCUGAGCUUGUUACUGGUUAUCAUAAGACCACAAACAAAGAGAAAUGCGCCAUCAAGUUCGAUAUCUCGAAAGCUUUUGACACAGUCAAGUGGUCUUUCAUCACUUCAGUUUUACAAGCAAUGGGACUGCCUCCUCAGUUUAUUCAGUGGAUCAGACUAUGUAUAUCUACAGCUGCGUUCUCAGUGGCAGUGAAUGGGAGUCUGGAAGGGUUUUUCACCAGUGCUAGAGGCAUUCGUCAAGGAUGCUCCCUCUCGCCAUAUCUGUAUGUCAUCCUCAACAACGUCCUAUCAAAAUUGCUCAACAAAGCCGCAGAAGCAGGAGAGUUUGCCUACCAUCCUCAGUGUCAAGGCGUCAAGCUAACACACCUGAGUUUCGCUGACGAUAUUUUGGUAUUCACCAAUGGUACCUCAGAAUCACUAUUGGGUAUUAUGGAAGUUAUGCGUCGGUUUGCAGCCAUGUCUGGUUUACAUAUUAACGCAGCGAAGUCAUCGAUCUAUGUGACAGGGAGGAACAUAGCUGAUAUUUUAGCGACAGCGGCAUCCUUAAGCAUUGGAGUAGGAACACUCCCUAUCCGGUACUUAGGCAUGCCUCUUACUACGAAAACACUCACUAGCCAUGACUAUGAGCCUCUUAUCAACAAAAUCCGAAGUAGAAUGUUGUGUUGGUCCAACAGAGCCCUCUCGUUUGCAGGAAGGCUUCAGCUGAUUCAGUCUGUCAUUACUAGCAUGGUCAACUUCUGGAGCUCAGCUUUUAUUCUUCCUGCUAAGUGUUUGGAUACCAUUGAAAGCAUGUGUAGCGCGUUUCUCUGGUCUGGAUCUCCUACCCAAACACAUAAGGCCAAGGUAAGCUGGGAGGAUCUCUGCGCACCUAAGGAUGAAGGCGGAUUGGGAGUGAGAAAGUUCAGAGAUACGGCAAAAGCAUUUGCUCUAAAGCUUAUAUGGAGAUUAUUUACUCAACCGUCAUCCUUAUGGGUUAGUUGGGUUAAUCACUAUUUGCUUAAGUAUAACUCCUUUUGGGAUGUGCGGGAUGAAUCAAAGGGAUCUUGGAUAUGGAGGAAACUACUGAAGUUAAGAGAUUUGGCCUAUGAGUUUCUUAGGGUUGAUAUUAAAUUUUUAAAAAAUACUAAUUAUUAUAGCUUCAGUAUAUAAAGUAUUUACCAAAAACUCAAUAUUUUCGAAGGGGUUAACACAUGGAUUUUAAGGAAAUUUAAAAAAAUAUGACUAUAUUGUUUUAAUGCAUAGCUGCAUCCUGCACUAACAUAUGAUGAUGUUCAACGAGGUUUGGAUCCUUUGUUGUCUCCGUUUAUCAAGAAAAUAGUUAUUUCAUUGUAGUUAUUUAAUCGAUUUAGGGAGUAUUAUGAAGUUUUACUAAAUUAAUUGAUAAAAAAAUUAUAACGAUUCCCAUAUACCAUGAUAAAGAGUUUAAAAUACAUUAAUACAAAUGUAGAAUGUAGUUAAAAUUUUUUAAAACAACACUAAAGAUUAUCGGCCUCAGUAUAUAAAGUAUUUACCAAAAACUCAAUAUUUUCGAAGGGGUUGUUAACACAUUGGUUUUGAGAAAAUUUCAAAAAAUAUAAUAAUAUCGUUUUAAUGCAUAGUUGCAUCUUGCACUAACAUAUGAUAAUGUUCAAAGAGUUUUGGAGCCUUUGUUGUCUCCGUUUUUCAAGAAAAUAGUUAUUUUAUAGUAGUUAUUUCAUCGAUUUAGGGAGUAUUAUGAAGUUUUAAUAAAUUAAUUGAUAAACAAAUUAUAGCCUGAAUCUAAAGGGAUUUCUGGGCGAUGGCGGCUCUGAAUACCCUAGCAAGCGAAGGCGAUGGCGGCGACGCGAGUGAAAGUGACGCCACGGCGGCUCUGUCUAUUCAGGCUUUGGGGGUAAUCGGGAUAGCUACUGAGCCUGCGGCUGAGGAGAUGACGAAGCAGGGGAAUGAAGCGAUUGUUGAUGGCAAGCGCCAGAGUGAUGGAUCUCCACGUUCUGCUCCUUGGGUGAAGAAGAAGAUGGGAGGAGGCGAACCAGAAGCCAUUGUAGAUGUAGUGGAUGGUGUUGCCUCGCUUCAGAUUCCCGAAGAGAUUUUUGAUGAGGCGGAGCUCCUGUGGAAAAGCUAUGUGGUGGGUUAUUUCAUUGGAGAUGCUCCUCAUGUAGGUUCAAUUCACGCAACUGUCAAUCGUAUCUGGUCUGCUCCCAAGGCGGGUACAAAGAUCGAUGUCCAGUUCAUUGAAAAGAAUACAGUUUUGUUUCGCAUUGAGAACAGCCAGAUGAGGAGUCGUGUGAUUCAAAGGAAAUAUUGGCACAUUGCGGAUAUCCCUUUGGUAGUCAAUGUUUGGACUCCAGAGUCUGCAUUGCACCCUCCAGAUCUUUCGGCUAUGCCUCUGUGGAUUGAUCUUAAGGGAGUUCCAAACAACCUUUACUCUCACAAGGGACUGAAGUGCUUAUCCAAAGCAGUCGGUCAGUUUGUGAAACUUCACCCGAGUACGGAAAAGUGUGUGAGGCUUGAUGUGGCCAGAGCUCUUGUGGAGGUCAACUUACACCAACCUCUGGUGGAGAAAAUCUCUUUUAAGGAUAAUGCUGGCUUUGCGCAUGAAGUGGAAGUUAAUUUUCCUUGGCUCCCUCCUCGUUGUAGUGUCUGUCGCAGGUGGGGCCAUAAAGGUCAGGACUGUUCGAGUAAGGAGAUCCGAAUCCUAAAUAAUAAGGUAGAGGAGACAGCAGCGUCUUUGUUUGCUGUUAUACCUCACGGAGGAGACAAGGCUGGAGACAGGGUUGAAGAGGUGGAGGGAAACGAGGUAGUAACUGUGGAGGAAGAUGUGAGUAAGGAAGGGAAUGUUUUUGAGAAUCUGAUUCAGGAUUUGGAAGCGCUUACGCCUGUGGCUAAUAACGUUGCUGCGCUGGAAGGCAUUAAGCUAACUGAGCCUACUACAGAGGUUUUUCACACCAAUGGGGUUGGCGCUUGGGAAAAUGGUCGAGGAAUGAAACAGGUGGGUGAUACUGGUGGGGAAGGGGCUAUAAUAAUCUCUCCUUCACGUUUCAGUCCCUUACAGGGUAUCGUAGAGGAGGAGGAGGAUGCUAUGGUGGAGAAUGGGAAGGAAGUUGAAGAGGGUGAAAUAUUAGAGACUAAUGUUGAUGGAAAGAAAGUUCCAGGAGUGCAGGUUUCAAAUCGGGGUAGAAAGCCUGGAUCGGCUCAGAAGCAGAUGCGGGGGAAGAUUGUUCGAACUAAAGACCUGAUAUAUGCUGGCAAGCAAGGGACAACAAAAAAAACUUCCGUUAGGAAGUUAUGACGUCUCUCUUUGCAUGGAAUAUGCGUGGAUUCAACUUACCACGCAAGCAUAGAGCACUUAAAGCAUGGUUGCAAGUGGAUCAUGCAAGGUGCUUGGUUCGUACAGCAGGAGUUACAAAUGAUGCUAGGAAGCCAUUUCGGUUUUUCAACUUUCUGGCUGAGCACAAGGAUUUCUUGCCGACGGUUCAGAGAGUCUGGGACACGAGCGCCGCUCUCUACCCCUCCAGGACAGCACUCUCCCUUUUCCAUAGGAAGCUGAAGCUUCUUAAGCAACCGCUUCGGGAGUUGAACAAGACACACUAUGGAAACUUGCCAGCCCGCACUAAGCAAGCUUAUAAUGAGCUUUGUGAAUGUCAAAACAGAGUAUUACAGGAUCCAUCGCCUGACAACGUUGCAAGGGCGGCUGAGGCAGCAGAGAGAUGGAAUGUUUUGGCUCGUAUUGAGGAAAAAUUCUACAGGCAGAAGUCAUGUGUCCGAUGGCUUACGGCAGGAGAUCAGAAUACAACAUUUUUCCACAAUAUGGUUCAGAUGAGAAUAGCUAAAAACACGAUCAGGAGUUUGGUGACAGCGCAGGGAGAAGUGCUCACAACAUUGUCAGAUAUUAAAAAAGAAGCAGUGUCUCAUUUUCAAUCUUUUCUGCAAGGACAAGAUCCGACUACUGAGGACAUUACUGUUGAUGCUCUACAAGAUCUGUUAACAUAUAGAUGCUCUCGGGACGACUCAGCUUGUUUAGUUCGGCCGGUCACUGCUGCAGAAAUACAGCAAGCGCUCCGCUCUCUCCCAAAUGAUAAAGUAUCUGGGCCUGACGGUUUCACCAAAGAAUUUUUCAUUGCAGCGUGGCCAGUCAUUGGACGGGACUUCAUUGUGGCAAUCCAGUCUUUCUUCAUAUUCGGGUUUAUGCCUACCGGAGUGAAUGCCACCAUACUCUCCUUGAUUCCUAAGACAACUACUGCUCAGACUAUGAAGGAUUACCGGCCCAUCGCGUGUUGCAACCUUCUCUACAAGGUGAUCUCUAAAGUCUUAGCCAAUAGACUGAAGAUAAUUUUCCCUGCAGCAGUUGAAGCUAAUCAGUGUGCAUUUAUCACUGAGCGUUUACUUCUGGAAAACGUCUUACUCGCUUCUGAGCUUGUUACUGGUUAUCAUAAGACCACAAACAAAGAGAAAUGCGCCAUCAAGUUCGAUAUCUCGAAAGCUUUUGACACAGUCAAGUGGUCUUUCAUCACUUCAGUUUUACAAGCAAUGGGACUGCCUCCUCAGUUUAUUCAGUGGAUCAGACUAUGUAUAUCUACAGCUGCGUUCUCAGUGGCAGUGAAUGGGAGUCUGGAAGGGUUUUUCACCAGUGCUAGAGGCAUUCGUCAAGGAUGCUCCCUCUCGCCAUAUCUGUAUGUCAUCCUCAACAACGUCCUAUCAAAAUUGCUCAACAAAGCCGCAGAAGCAGGAGAGUUUGCCUACCAUCCUCAGUGUCAAGGCGUCAAGCUAACACACCUGAGUUUCGCUGACGAUAUUUUGGUAUUCACCAAUGGUACCUCAGAAUCACUAUUGGGUAUUAUGGAAGUUAUGCGUCGGUUUGCAGCCAUGUCUGGUUUACAUAUUAACGCAGCGAAGUCAUCGAUCUAUGUGACAGGGAGGAACAUAGCUGAUAUUUUAGCGACAGCGGCAUCCUUAAGCAUUGGAGUAGGAACACUCCCUAUCCGGUACUUAGGCAUGCCUCUUACUACGAAAACACUCACUAGCCAUGACUAUGAGCCUCUUAUCGACAAAAUCCGAAGUAGAAUGUUGUGUUGGUCCAACAGAGCCCUCUCGUUUGCAGGAAGGCUUCAGCUGAUUCAGUCUGUCAUUACUAGCAUGGUCAACUUCUGGAGCUCAGCUUUUAUUCUUCCUGCUAAGUGUUUGGAUACCAUUGAAAGCAUGUGUAGCGCGUUUCUCUGGUCUGGAUCUCCUACCCAAACACAUAAGGCCAAGGUAAGCUGGGAGGAUCUCUGCGCACCUAAGGAUGAAGGCGGAUUGGGAGUGAGAAAGUUCAGAGAUACGGCAAAAGCAUUUGCUCUAAAGCUUAUAUGGAGAUUAUUUACUCAACUGUCAUCCUUAUGGGUUAGUUGGGUUAAUCACUAUUUGCUUAAGUAUAACUCCUUUUGGGAUGUGCGGGAUGAAUCAAAGGGAUCUUGGAUAUGGAGGAAACUACUGAAGUUAAGAGAUUUGGCCUAUGAGUUUCUUAGGGUUGAUAUUAAAGAUGGCAAGACAUGUUACUUCUGGUUCGACGAGUGGUUGGGAAAGGGCAGACUCAUCAAUGUUACAGGUCCGGCUGGUACCACCUAUUUGGGAGUAAUGCGACAUGCUAAGGUUUGUGAUGCAGUGGCAGGUAAUGAGUGGAAUAUUAGAGGAGGGAGGAGCAGGCGGUUCCAUGAACUCUAUGAUAGUAUCUUAGCGCUUGAGCCUCCGGCGCCUGACAAAGGAAAAUAUAUUAUAAUGUGGAAGCAUGGUGAUGAUGACUACAGGAAAACGUUCUCAGCCGCUAGGACGUGGGAUCAACUUAGAAUUAAGAGAAGCAAAGUGGAGUGGUGCAGAGUGGUCUGGUUCGCGCAAGGGGUGCCUCGCUUCUCUUUUAUAACCUGGUUAGCCAUUCGGAACAGACUGUCGACAGGAGAUCGUAUGCGGGCUUGGGGUAUUGUGCAAGGGUGUGUGUUGUGUGGAGAACAAGAUGAAACAAGAGAUCAUCUCUUCUUCGCUUGCCCAUAUUCAUAUACGAUAUGGGAGCCUCUUGCACGACCGCUUAUUGGGAGAAAUAUCAACCCGGAUUGGCAAUGGACAGUGAAUCACUUGCAGCGGAUGGGAGGGAAGAGUCUUGACACGAUCCUUGCAAAGAUGCUGUUCCAAACUGUAGUGUAUCACAUCUGGAGGGAGAGAAAUGCAAGGCGUCACCAGCAGAGUUGGAAGACUACGGAUCAACUGAGCAGACUCAUAGACAAAGCAGUCAGAAACCGAAUCAGUUCAUUGAGAUAUAAACGGCAGCACAACUUGGAGGGGCUACUAACAAGAUGGUUCGAAGUUACACUUUAGGAUUCAUUGUGCACUGAUGCCAUUUUUACAGCAUUGAGCAUUUGUACAUAACAUUCUUUUGAUAGAUCAAUAAAUUUGAAAUUUCAUCAAAAAAAAACAAAUUAUAACCAUUCCCAUAUACCAUGAAAAAGAACUUAAAAUACAUUAAUUCAAAUGUAUAAUGUGGUUUAAAAUUUUAGAACAACACUAAAGAUUAUAGGCUUCAGUAUAUAAAAUAUUUACCAAAAACUCAAUAUUUUCGAAGGGGUUAACACAUGGAUUUUGAGAAAAUUUCAAAAAAUAAUUAUGAAGUUUUAAUAAAUUAAUUGAUAAACAAAUUAUAGCCUGAAUCUAAAGGGAUUUCUGGGCGAUGGCGGCUCUGAAUACCCUAGCAAGCGAAGGCGAUGGCGGCGACGCGAGUGAAAGUGACGCCACGGCGGCUCUGUCUAUUCAGGCUUUGGGGGUAAUCGGGAUAGCUACUGAGCCUGCGGCUGAGGAGAUGACGAAGCAGGGGAAUGAAGCGAUUGUUGAUGGCAAGCGCCAGAGUGAUGGAUCUCCACGUUCUGCUCCUUGGGUGAAGAAGAAGAUGGGAGGAGGCGAACCAGAAGCCAUUGUAGAUGUAGUGGAUGGUGUUGCCUCGCUUCAGAUUCCCGAAGAGAUUUUUGAUGAGGCGGAGCUCCUGUGGAAAAGCUAUGUGGUGGGUUAUUUCAUUGGAGAUGCUCCUCAUGUAGGUUCAAUUCACGCAACUGUCAAUCGUAUCUGGUCUGCUCCCAAGGCGGGUACAAAGAUCGAUGUCCAGUUCAUUGAAAAGAAUACAGUUUUGUUUCGCAUUGAGAACAGCCAGAUGAGGAGUCGUGUGAUUCAAAGGAAAUAUUGGCACAUUGCGGAUAUCCCUUUGGUAGUCAAUGUUUGGACUCCAGAGUCUGCAUUGCACCCUCCAGAUCUUUCGGCUAUGCCUCUGUGGAUUGAUCUUAAGGGAGUUCCAAACAACCUUUACUCUCACAAGGGACUGAAGUGCUUAUCCAAAGCAGUCGGUCAGUUUGUGAAACUUCACCCGAGUACGGAAAAGUGUGUGAGGCUUGAUGUGGCCAGAGCUCUUGUGGAGGUCAACUUACACCAACCUCUGGUGGAGAAAAUCUCUUUUAAGGAUAAUGCUGGCUUUGCGCAUGAAGUGGAAGUUAAUUUUCCUUGGCUCCCUCCUCGUUGUAGUGUCUGUCGCAGGUGGGGCCAUAAAGGUCAGGACUGUUCGAGUAAGGAGAUCCGAAUCCUAAAUAAUAAGGUAGAGGAGACAGCAGCGUCUUUGUUUGCUGUUAUACCUCACGGAGGAGACAAGGCUGGAGACAGGGUUGAAGAGGUGGAGGGAAACGAGGUAGUAACUGUGGAGGAAGAUGUGAGUAAGGAAGGGAAUGUUUUUGAGAAUCUGAUUCAGGAUUUGGAAGCGCUUACGCCUGUGGCUAAUAACGUUGCUGCGCUGGAAGGCAUUAAGCUAACUGAGCCUACUACAGAGGUUUUUCACACCAAUGGGGUUGGCGCUUGGGAAAAUGGUCGAGGAAUGAAACAGGUGGGUGAUACUGGUGGGGAAGGGGCUAUAAUAAUCUCUCCUUCACGUUUCAGUCCCUUACAGGGUAUCGUAGAGGAGGAGGAGGAUGCUAUGGUGGAGAAUGGGAAGGAAGUUGAAGAGGGUGAAAUAUUAGAGACUAAUGUUGAUGGAAAGAAAGUUCCAGGAGUGCAGGUUUCAAAUCGGGGUAGAAAGUUCCAGGAGUGCAGGUUUCAAAUCGGGGUAGAAAGCCUGGAUCGGCUCAGAAGCAGAUGCGGGGAAGAUUGUUCGAACUAAAGACCUGAUAUAUGCUGGCAAGCAAGGGACAACAAAAAAAACUUCCGUUAGGAAGUUAUGACGUCUCUCUUUGCAUGGAAUAUGCGUGGAUUCAACUUACCACGCAAGCAUAGAGCACUUAAAGCAUGGUUGCAAGUGGAGAAGCCUUCUUUUGGGUGCCUAGUAGAGACGAGAGUGCAGGAGUCUAAUCAUCAGUGGUGCAUGAGUGCUGCCAUGCCAGGGUGGAAAUCCCUCACGAACUACAACUACCAUCCCUUGGGUAGGAUCUGGGUCUGCUGGUCUGAUCAAGUUAUUGUCACGCAACUGCAUAUGAGCGCACAGGUAAUCACGUGUGCAAUCCAGGUGCCUAGUACUGGAGAGCAAUUUGUGUGCUCUGCUGUCUAUGCAUACAAUACUGCAGUGGAUCGAAUUCGAUUAUGGGAAGAGCUGAGAGGAGCAAAAGCUGCCUAUGAUCAUUUGAACCUCCCUUGGAUAUUGAUAGGAGACUUCAACGAAACUUUGGCCUCUUCUGAGCAUUCUCGCGCAAUGGAUUAUCGCAGAGAUAUGUCUGGCAUGAGGCAUUUCCAGGAAGCAAUGACAGACUGCUCUGUCAUGGAUUUACCCUUCACUGGUGCAUUGUUUACGUGGUGAAACAAUCGAGUUGCGGACCCUAUUGGAAAGAAGUUGGACAGAGCGUUGGUUAAUCAGAAUUGGCUCAGUCGUUACCCACUCUCUUCAGCACAAUUUGAUGCUGGUGGAAUUUUGGAUCAUGCAAGGUGCUUGGUUCGUACAGCAGGAGUUACAAAUGAUGCUAGGAAACCAUUUCGGUUUUUUAACUUUCUGGCUGAGCACAAGGAUUUCUUGCCGACGGUUCAGAGAGUCUGGGACUCGACUCAAGCUCUCUACCCCUCCAGGACAGCACUCUCCCUUUUCCAUAGGAAGCUGAAGCUUCUUAAGCAACCGCUUCGGGAGUUGAACAAGACACACUAUGGAAACUUGCCAGCCCGCACUAAGCAAGCUUAUAAUGAGCUUUGUGAAUGUCAAAACAGAGUAUUACAGGAUCCAUCGCCUGACAACGUUGCAAGGGCGGCUGAGGCAGCAGAGAGAUGGAAUGUUUUGGCUCGUAUUGAGGAAAAAUUCUACAGGCAGAAGUCAUGUGUCCGAUGGCUUACGGCAGGAGAUCAGAAUACAACAUUUUUCCACAAUAUGGUUCAGAUGAGAAUAGCUAAAAACACGAUCAGGAGUUUGGUGACAGCGCAGGGAGAAGUGCUCACAACAUUGUCAGAUAUUAAAAAAGAAGCAGUGUCUCAUUUUCAAUCUUUUCUGCAAGGACAAGAUCCGACUACUGAGGACAUUACUGUUGAUGCUCUACAAGAUCUGUUAACAUAUAGAUGCUCUCGGGACGACUCAGCUUGUUUAGUUCGGCCGGUCACUGCUGCAGAAAUACAGCAAGCGCUCCGCUCUCUCCCAAAUGAUAAAGUAUCUGGGCCUGACGGUUUCACCAAAGAAUUUUUCAUUGCAGCGUGGCCAGUCAUUGGACGGGACUUCAUUGUGGCAAUCCAGUCUUUCUUCAUAUUCGGGUUUAUGCCUACCGGAGUGAAUGCCACCAUACUCUCCUUGAUUCCUAAGACAACUACUGCUCAGACUAUGAAGGAUUACCGGCCCAUCGCGUGUUGCAACCUUCUCUACAAGGUGAUCUCUAAAGUCUUAGCCAAUAGACUGAAGAUAAUUUUCCCUGCAGCAGUUGAAGCUAAUCAGUGUGCAUUUAUCACUGAGCGUUUACUUCUGGAAAACGUCUUACUCGCUUCUGAGCUUGUUACUGGUUAUCAUAAGACCACAAACAAAGAGAAAUGCGCCAUCAAGUUCGAUAUCUCGAAAGCUUUUGACACAGUCAAGUGGUCUUUCAUCACUUCAGUUUUACAAGCAAUGGGACUGCCUCCUCAGUUUAUUCAGUGGAUCAGACUAUGUAUAUCUACAGCUGCGUUCUCAGUGGCAGUGAAUGGGAGUCUGGAAGGGUUUUUCACCAGUGCUAGAGGCAUUCGUCAAGGAUGCUCCCUCUCGCCAUAUCUGUAUGUCAUCCUCAACAACGUCCUAUCAAAAUUGCUCAACAAAGCCGCAGAAGCAGGAGAGUUUGCCUACCAUCCUCAGUGUCAAGGCGUCAAGCUAACACACCUGAGUUUCGCUGACGAUAUUUUGGUAUUCACCAAUGGUACCUCAGAAUCACUAUUGGGUAUUAUGGAAGUUAUGCGUCGGUUUGCAGCCAUGUCUGGUUUACAUAUUAACGCAGCGAAGUCAUCGAUCUAUGUGACAGGGAGGAACAUAGCUGAUAUUUUAGCGACAGCGGCAUCCUUAAGCAUUGGAGUAGGAACACUCCCUAUCCGGUACUUAGGCAUGCCUCUUACUACGAAAACACUCACUAGCCAUGACUAUGAGCCUCUUAUCGACAAAAUCCGAAGUAGAAUGUUGUGUUGGUCCAACAGAGCCCUCUCGUUUGCAGGAAGGCUUCAGCUGAUUCAGUCUGUCAUUACUAGCAUGGUCAACUUCUGGAGCUCAGCUUUUAUUCUUCCUGCUAAGUGUUUGGAUACCAUUGAAAGCAUGUGUAGCGCGUUUCUCUGGUCUGGAUCUCCUACCCAAACACAUAAGGCCAAGGUAAGCUGGGAGGAUCUCUGCGCACCUAAGGAUGAAGGCGGAUUGGGAGUGAGAAAGUUCAGAGAUACGGCAAAAGCAUUUGCUCUAAAGCUUAUAUGGAGAUUAUUUACUCAACUGUCAUCCUUAUGGGUUAGUUGGGUUAAUCACUAUUUGCUUAAGUAUAACUCCUUUUGGGAUGUGCGGGAUGAAUCAAAGGGAUCUUGGAUAUGGAGGAAACUACUGAAGUUAAGAGAUUUGGCCUAUGAGUUUCUUAGGGUUGAUAUUAAAGAUGGCAAGACAUGUUACUUCUGGUUCGACGACUGGUUGGGAAAGGGCAGACUCAUCAAUGUUACAGGUCCGGCUGGUACCACCUAUUUGGGAGUAAUGCGACAUGCUAAGGUUUGUGAUGCAGUGGCAGGUAAUGAGUGGAAUAUUAGAGGAGGGAGGAGCAGGCGGUUCCAUGAACUCUAUGAUAGUAUCUUAGCGCUUGAGCCUCCGGCGCCUGACAAAGGAAAAGAUAUUAUAAUGUGGAAGCAUGGUGAUGAUGACUACAGGAAAACGUUCUCAGCCGCUAGGACGUGGGAUCAACUUAGAAUUAAGAGAAGCAAAGUGGAGUGGUGCAGAGUGGUCUGGUUCGCGCAAGGGGUGCCUCGCUUCUCUUUUAUAACCUGGUUAGCCAUUCGGAACAGACUGUCGACAGGAGAUCGUAUGCGGGCUUGGGGUAUUGUGCAAGGGUGUGUGUUGUGUGGAGAACGAGAUGAAACAAGAGAUCAUCACUUCUUCGCUUGCCCAUAUUCAUAUACGAUAUGGGAGCCUCUUGCACGACCGCUUAUUGGGAGAAAUAUCAACCCGGAUUGGCAAUGGACAGUGAAUCACUUGCAGCGGAUGGGAGGGAAGAGUCUUGACACGAUCCUUGCAAAGAUGCUGUUCCAAACUGUAGUGUAUCACAUCUGGAGGGAGAGAAAUGCAAGGCGUCACCAGCAGAGUUGGAAGACUACGGAUCAACUGAGCAGACUCAUAGACAAAGCAGUCAGAAACCGAAUCAGUUCAUUGAGAUAUAAACGGCAGCACAACUUGGAGGGGCUACUAACAAGAUGGUUCGAAGUUACACUUUAGGAUUCAUUGUGCACUGAUGCCAUUUUUACAGCAUUGAGCAUUUGUACAUAACAUUCUUUUGAUAGAUCAAUAAAUUUGAAAUUUCAUCAAAAAAAAAAAAAAUAAUACUAUUAUUUUAACGUAAUAUAACUAAUACCAUUAAAACUAAAACACAACUAUGAAAACAACUUUAUGUUACAGAAAAUGCCACUGUAUUUAUAAUAUUUCCUUACAAUUCAUUAAAGGCAUUUUCAUUCUAUUAAAAAAAAGAACUAUUUCUAAAAGGAAAUAACCAAAAAGAUAUUCAUAACAAUUUUUCUAAGAUUGCAAUAAUAGAUCUUACUAUAAUUUUUUGUUUCACAUAUAAAUAUAUAUAGUUAAAUUUAAUAGUAUUAAAGCUUUAAAAAUAUCUAAAUAACUAAAUAUUUUCGUAUUUAAUAUUAAAUUAUUAUUAUAUAUUAAUAUUAUUUUAAUUUCCAAUUAUACACAUGAAAUAAAAUUUAUAGUAUUUUAUAUAUAAUUAUAGCAUUAAUAAUUUAGUACAUCAGAUAAUAAAAACACUUAAAAUUUUAUCUUUUAAUUAUUUUAUAAAUAAAAAAAUUAAAUUAAAGUUACUGUACACACAAAAUAACAAAAAAAUUCAGAAUUUAUAUUAUUAAAUAAAUAAUUUUAAUUUAUAUUAUUUACAUAUUAUUAAAGUAAAUAUUAAAUCAAUGAUCAUAACUUAAUCUAACAAAUAUUUUUUUUAAAUAGAUAUUAAAAUAAUUUUAGAUGUAUAUUAGAUGUAUACGUAUAUAUAUAUUUAUGUUUACUUGAUAAAAAUAAUAUAUUAAAAAUUAACUGAUAUUUAUAGUGUUUGACGAUAUAGUCGAUUGGGUUACACUUGAUAUUUUUAUAAUUAUAGAUUUUAAUGGUUUAUUUCAUCGAAUAUGCAAUAUAUUAAUCAAAUACUAGACGGUUUCCACAAAUACAUAAACUCUUUUAAAAAAUUAUAAAACAAAAUUUUGCUAGUAUGCGACACGUUAAAAUAUUAAUUACUCCAUCUCAAUUUUAGUUUGUUAAAUAUAAAACUAAAAACAAAUUCAAGACACAUAAAAAGAAUUAUUGUGUUUGAUUAAUAUAUAAUUAUAUCUAAAUACAACUUUAACAUGAUUUCUGUAAAGCAAAAUAUUUUAAAUCAACUUAAAUAUACUAAACCUAUAAUGAUUACUUUAUUUAAAAUAAAAUAUUUUUUAAAAUUAUGAUAUUGCGUUAUAGUACUGAUUAGUUAAUAGAAUAACUAUGAAAAUUAAUAUGUUAUCUAAUUAUGUUUUACAACUAUUAAAUAUGAAUAUGUUAACAUCUCAAAUUAAGGCUUUUUCUUUUAUUUAACAGAUUUAAUAAAAUUAUACACAUGUAAUAAACUAAAAAUGAAAUUUCAUCUAAUUUUUAAAUAUUUAAAGUAAGGAAAUCAAGAUAGAAUAAUGAUUAUAACGUUUCUUAAAAUUCAAUAUUUAGCUUCAAGAAGUACUCCAAAUAAAUAAUAUACAUAAAUAUAAAUAAUUUUUUUAAAAAAAAUAGUUCCAAACUUCGAAAGGAUCAAAAUCUAAUUAUCUUAUUAAACUUUAAGUUAUAGAAGAAAGAUAAUCCAAUUAAUGAAAAACAUAUGUCUAGGAGAAUUUUCUUGAGUUUCUUGACAAGUUUCAAAUGAAAAACUCUUAUCUCCCCCUCCCCUCUUAGUUUUACUUUUUAUUUCAUUAUUUUAUUGGUUCUAUCUGUGGAUAUGUUCUAAUACUACGAGAGUUCGAUCAUUUCACAAAUUUUCAGAAAAAAAAAACAAGUUACAUGAGGCUUGCUUGGACCUUUGUUUGAGUGUUAGUUCAUAUUCAAAAGUUAAACCAAGGACACAUGCUGAACUUAUGAUUUUCGAAAACUCAGAGUUAAUGAUUUCAAAUAUGAAUGAUGGAAUGAGAUUCUACGUUGAUGUAUGAUCAAAGAGGGAGAUUAAGACAUGUUAGUUAUUACAGGUCAAGUGGAGCUUAGGUUAAACCUCACUGGGCGUGACAUGACAAAUGUCCAAGACGUCUUAGAUUUUCACUUAAAUCUCUCUCGAGCUGUUUGAAAGUCUUUGGAAAUGGACUACCUGGUAUAUCAAAUAUCUUAGAUAAGUGGUAAUUGUUAAGUUUCAUGUGCUUAUAUGGAUUUCCAUCUUAAAUUUAAUGGCGAUAACUAGAUUGAUUCUAUCUCUAUAUAUUGGUUAACUAUUUAUCCAAUUACCAGGUGUGACUUUCAUUCAUUCAUUAACAUUUUCUCUCACACAGACAAUUGAAGAAAUAAUAUGCAAAGAGUGGCCCAACAUUGUGUGACUCUAAUACCAUUUUAAAUUUAGGCUUAUUAUAAGUUUCUAACUUAUAUAAAAUCAACUGACGAUAAAUGAAUUGGUCUAAAUAUUUUAUAUAUUACUUAAAUUUCUUUUGUGAGAUAUUUUUGUAACACUCUCGUUCGAGAUAAUGAUUCAAUGACCUCCCAAAAUUACAAUGAGCAUAUAAAGUUAAUCUAUUCGAGGAACACAAAACAUAAAUUUAUAAAGGGAAGUUUACUAAAAUGACACAAAUUAGUUGUGUUAUUACUAGAAUGACUCAUCUUUUUUGAAAAUUAUUCAAAUAUUUUUUUGGUUGAAAUUGUCUUUGCCCAUAGUUAUAACAAAAAAACAUUACUAAAGUACCUUUAACAUUUAAUCGACGGCAGAUUUAUUUUCAAAAAUCAAAUAUGUCGAAUAAUAAAUUUGUUUAUAAAAUUUGUAUAGCAAAUCUACCGUUAAAGUGAUGACAAACCUUUUUAGAAAUGUCAGAUUUGUUUCCACGAUAGAGUUAAUUAUCCGAUUUAAAUAGAAACAAUUUUUUUAAGAAUAUGUUUGUCGAAUGAGGUGGCAGACUUGUUAUAAAUGGUAGAUUUUUGUGGUUGACUUUUUUCUUAUGUUAGACUUAUUUUCUUACGGGAAAGUUAUAUAUCUGACUUAAAAUUAUUAGGAGACUUUUUGUUUAUGUGGUGACAGACUUUUUAAUUUAUGUUGUGGCAGAUUUAUUGACGAAAAUCCGGGUUUACGUAAACCAAACUUAAUUUAAUGUUCAAUUUCGACCAGUUUUACAUUAAUUUCAAAUCUAAUUUAUUUUUAGGAUAAUUAAGAUCAGAAUUAGGUAAAUUUCCGAUAACUGUCAUCAGCUCUUUCAUCCUAUAUUUUCUUCCUUAUCAAGUUGUCCUUUUCAUUUGGUUUAAUCACUGGGACGUAUGUUCAUGACUUGUUCGAUGUGAGAAUUGACAACUUUAGUGGUUCAUGCCGUUCUUCUGGCUCACCAUUGAGAUAAGUUGAGAACAUAACCAAAUUAAGUCAAAUCCCAAGAGUUGAUUUGGUUCAUACUCUUGUCUUUCUGGUGGACGAAAGAAUCGUUCUAAGUUUACGGAAGUGGCCAAAUACAAAUAGAAAGUAACAAUUCUUCUACCAGUGUAGAAAAUAAAUCAGUGAUGAGAACAACUUCAAAAUAAAACAUGUUUAUUUAUGAGGCAGGGAGCUACAGAUUUAUAUAUAGCUUAUAACUAAACCCUACUCAAACUCAAGUCACCAAGCCCUCCAUUAUUGCCGGCUCAGAUGGUACUCACGCAACACUUCUCAGUAAGAUCUGUUAGGAUCUUUUAAUCCAAAACCAACAAAGCUGCUCUUUCCACUUGACUGUGAACGGCCUGAACUAAAACCUGAUGAAACGAUUGAACCUCUUGAACCAAAGCCCCUAUAACUGGAAGAACGGUCUGAACAACCAGAAUAACGGUUGUCUGAUCCUCCUAAACGAUCACCACUAUAUCUACCACUACCACCACCACCACCACCAUAACAACCUGAACAACAAUGAAUUUUCCUCCUUUACCAUGAGCCUGAAACGGAGAAAAGUGGACUAUAAAACCUUGCAAUACAUAAACACGACUGAUAAAUAGCAAGAAAAAUCACAGCAAGAAGUAAUAUAUUCCUAUGAUGCACCGGGACGGAUACCGGUACCGGGACGGAAGUAGGGAUGGGAAACGGCAAAACUAAAAAAUUAUGAUACGAGUACAGCAUAGAUACAUUUAUAAAAGUAAUAUAUAUAUAUAUACAUAUGAUUGCUGCCGCAUGCAUAGCAUUUGUGAAUUCGCUAUCAAACGUCUACUAUAGCAUAUUUCUCUCGCUAACAAUGUACAUAUUUCUUGUAGUGAAAUUUUAGUUUGGAUUGAUAUAUGGACUGCUAUAAGACAAAUCAUCGCAUAAACUUCACCAGAUAUAUAACAGAAAUAGAAUAUUCAAACGCAAUAGUUCCAAUCCAAGGUCAUCAUUAUGGUUUCAUUUUUGAAUUCUUACCUUCGGCAAUAAAUUCGAUGUAGAGAAUCAUUUAAUGCUUUCAAUUUCAACAAUAUAUAUUAUUAGUCAAAAGUGAUGAAAGAAAACAUAACGGCAGUGCUAAAAAGCUCAUGUUAAGUCCUAACUUACGGAUACGUCCCCACGCCGUCUCAUCUCAGCACCGUCCCCAUGCCGUUACCGUUUCAGAAACGUUUCCAGUACCGGGACGUCACUCAAACUCACGUCCCCGUGCAUCAUCAAUUAAGGUUCCAAAAUUUCAACAUGCAAUCGAUUUAUUUAUGAUAACAAAAACUCGGAUAGCACAGAUUAAAGACUCACAUAUUAGAGUAGCAUGCCACUGAAUCCGGAUGUGACUGAGGUGAAAUCGAUUUCGUGUUUGUCGAGAAACACAGAGACGAAGAUGAGUUACCGUGGAAUAUGCUGGGGAGAAAGUUGAGUGCGGUAGAGGUGACGGAGACGAAGCUGGCUGUGACGGAAAAGGGACUGUCAUUUUUAAAAAAUACUAAUUAUUAUAGCUUCAGUAUAUAAAGUAUUUACCAAAAACUCAAUAUUUUCGAAGGGGUUAACACAUGGAUUUUAAGGAAAUUUAAAAAAAUAUGACUAUAUUGUUUUAAUGCAUAGCUGCAUCCUGCACUAACAUAUGAUGAUGUUCAACGAGGUUUGGAUCCUUUGUUGUCUCCGUUUAUCAAGAAAAUAGUUAUUUCAUUGUAGUUAUUUAAUCGAUUUAGGGAGUAUUAUGAAGUUUUACUAAAUUAAUUGAUAAAAAAAUUAUAACGAUUCCCAUAUACCAUGAUAAAGAGUUUAAAAUACAUUAAUACAAAUGUAGAAUGUAGUUAAAAUUUUUUAAAACAACACUAAAGAUUAUCGGCCUCAGUAUAUAAAGUAUUUACCAAAAACUCAAUAUUUUCGAAGGGGUUGUUAACACAUUGGUUUUGAGAAAAUUUCAAAAAAUAUAAUAAUAUCGUUUUAAUGCAUAGUUGCAUCUUGCACUAACAUAUGAUAAUGUUCAAAGAGUUUUGGAGCCUUUGUUGUCUCCGUUUUUCAAGAAAAUAGUUAUUUUAUAGUAGUUAUUUCAUCGAUUUAGGGAGUAUUAUGAAGUUUUAAUAAAUUAAUUGAUAAACAAAUUAUAGCCUGAAUCUAAAGGGAUUUCUGGGCGAUGGCGGCUCUGAAUACCCUAGCAAGCGAAGGCGAUGGCGGCGACGCGAGUGAAAGUGACGCCACGGCGGCUCUGUCUAUUCAGGCUUUGGGGGUAAUCGGGAUAGCUACUGAGCCUGCGGCUGAGGAGAUGACGAAGCAGGGGAAUGAAGCGAUUGUUGAUGGCAAGCGCCAGAGUGAUGGAUCUCCACGUUCUGCUCCUUGGGUGAAGAAGAAGAUGGGAGGAGGCGAACCAGAAGCCAUUGUAGAUGUAGUGGAUGGUGUUGCCUCGCUUCAGAUUCCCGAAGAGAUUUUUGAUGAGGCGGAGCUCCUGUGGAAAAGCUAUGUGGUGGGUUAUUUCAUUGGAGAUGCUCCUCAUGUAGGUUCAAUUCACGCAACUGUCAAUCGUAUCUGGUCUGCUCCCAAGGCGGGUACAAAGAUCGAUGUCCAGUUCAUUGAAAAGAAUACAGUUUUGUUUCGCAUUGAGAACAGCCAGAUGAGGAGUCGUGUGAUUCAAAGGAAAUAUUGGCACAUUGCGGAUAUCCCUUUGGUAGUCAAUGUUUGGACUCCAGAGUCUGCAUUGCACCCUCCAGAUCUUUCGGCUAUGCCUCUGUGGAUUGAUCUUAAGGGAGUUCCAAACAACCUUUACUCUCACAAGGGACUGAAGUGCUUAUCCAAAGCAGUCGGUCAGUUUGUGAAACUUCACCCGAGUACGGAAAAGUGUGUGAGGCUUGAUGUGGCCAGAGCUCUUGUGGAGGUCAACUUACACCAACCUCUGGUGGAGAAAAUCUCUUUUAAGGAUAAUGCUGGCUUUGCGCAUGAAGUGGAAGUUAAUUUUCCUUGGCUCCCUCCUCGUUGUAGUGUCUGUCGCAGGUGGGGCCAUAAAGGUCAGGACUGUUCGAGUAAGGAGAUCCGAAUCCUAAAUAAUAAGGUAGAGGAGACAGCAGCGUCUUUGUUUGCUGUUAUACCUCACGGGGGAGACAAGGCUGGAGACAGGGUUGAAGAGGUGGAGGGAAACGAGGUAGUAACUGUGGAGGAAGAUGUGAGUAAGGAAGGGAAUGUUUUUGAGAAUCUGAUUCAGGAUUGGGAAGCGCUUACGCCUGUGGCUAAUAACGUUGCUGCGCUGGAAGGCAUUAAGCUAACUGAGCCUACUACAGAGGUUUUUCACACCAAUGGGGUUGGCGCUUGGGAAAAUGGUCGAGGAAUGAAACAGGUGGGUGAUACUGGUGGGGAAGGGGCUAUAAUAAUCUCUCCUUCACGUUUCAGUCCCUUACAGGGUAUCGUAGAGGAGGAGGAGGAUGCUAUGGUGGAGAAUGGGAAGGAAGUUGAAGAGGGUGAAAUAUUAGAGACUAAUGUUGAUGGAAAGAAAGUUCCAGGAGUGCAGGUUUCAAAUCGGGGUAGAAAGUUCCAGGAGUGCAGGUUUCAAAUCGGGGUAGAAAGCCUGGAUCGGCUCAGAAGCAGAUGCGGGGAAGAUUGUUCGAACUAAAGACCUGAUAUAUGCUGGCAAGCAAGGGACAACAAAAAAAACUUCCGUUAGGAAGUUAUGACGUCUCUCUUUGCAUGGAAUAUGCGUGGAUUCAACUUACCACGCAAGCAUAGAGCACUUAAAGCAUGGUUGCAAGUGGAGAAGCCUUCUUUUGGGUGCCUAGUAGAGACGAGAGUACAGGAGUCUAAUCAUCAGUGGUGCAUGAGUGCUGCCAUGCCAGGGUGGAAAUCCCUCACGAACUACAACUACCAUCCCUUGGGUAGGAUCUGGGUCUGCUGGUCUGAUCAAGUUAUUGUCACGCAACUGCAUAUGAGCGCACAGGUAAUCACGUGUGCAAUCCAGGUGCCUAGUACUGGAGAGCAAUUUGUGUGCUCUGCUGUCUAUGCAUACAAUACUGCAGUGGAUCGAAUUCGAUUAUGGGAAGAGCUGAGAGGAGCAAAAGCUGCCUAUGAUCAUUUGAACCUCCCUUGGAUAUUGAUAGGAGACUUCAACGAAACUUUGGCCUCUUCUGAGCAUUCUCGCGCAAUGGAUUAUCGCAGAGAUAUGUCUGGCAUGAGGCAUUUCCAGGAAGCAAUGACAGACUGCUCUGUCAUGGAUUUACCCUUCACUGGUGCAUUGUUUACGUGGUGAAACAAUCGAGUUGCGGACCCUAUUGGAAAGAAGUUGGACAGAGCGUUGGUUAAUCAGAAUUGGCUCAGUCGUUACCCACUCUCUUCAGCACAAUUUGAUGCUGGUGGAAUUUUGGAUCAUGCAAGGUGCUUGGUUCGUACAGCAGGAGUUACAAAUGAUGCUAGGAAGCCAUUUCGGUUUUUCAACUUUCUGGCUGAGCACAAGGAUUUCUUGCCGACGGUUCAGAGAGUCUGGGACACGAGCGCCGCUCUCUACCCCUCCAGGACAGCACUCUCCCUUUUCCAUAGGAAGCUGAAGCUUCUUAAGCAACCGCUUCGGGAGUUGAACAAGACACACUAUGGAAACUUGCCAGCCCGCACUAAGCAAGCUUAUAAUGAGCUUUGUGAAUGUCAAAACAGAGUAUUACAGGAUCCAUCGCCUGACAACGUUGCAAGGGCGGCUGAGGCAGCAGAGAGAUGGAAUGUUUUGGCUCGUAUUGAGGAAAAAUUCUACAGGCAGAAGUCAUGUGUCCGAUGGCUUACGGCAGGAGAUCAGAAUACAACAUUUUUCCACAAUAUGGUUCAGAUGAGAAUAGCUAAAAACACGAUCAGGAGUUUGGUGACAGCGCAGGGAGAAGUGCUCACAACAUUGUCAGAUAUUAAAAAAGAAGCAGUGUCUCAUUUUCAAUCUUUUCUGCAAGGACAAGAUCCGACUACUGAGGACAUUACUGUUGAUGCUCUACAAGAUCUGUUAACAUAUAGAUGCUCUCGGGACGACUCAGCUUGUUUAGUUCGGCCGGUCACUGCUGCAGAAAUACAGCAAGCGCUCCGCUCUCUCCCAAAUGAUAAAGUAUCUGGGCCUGACGGUUUCACCAAAGAAUUUUUCAUUGCAGCGUGGCCAGUCAUUGGACGGGACUUCAUUGUGGCAAUCCAGUCUUUCUUCAUAUUCGGGUUUAUGCCUACCGGAGUGAAUGCCACCAUACUCUCCUUGAUUCCUAAGACAACUACUGCUCAGACUAUGAAGGAUUACCGGCCCAUCGCGUGUUGCAACCUUCUCUACAAGGUGAUCUCUAAAGUCUUAGCCAAUAGACUGAAGAUAAUUUUCCCUGCAGCAGUUGAAGCUAAUCAGUGUGCAUUUAUCACUGAGCGUUUACUUCUGGAAAACGUCUUACUCGCUUCUGAGCUUGUUACUGGUUAUCAUAAGACCACAAACAAAGAGAAAUGCGCCAUCAAGUUCGAUAUCUCGAAAGCUUUUGACACAGUCAAGUGGUCUUUCAUCACUUCAGUUUUACAAGCAAUGGGACUGCCUCCUCAGUUUAUUCAGUGGAUCAGACUAUGUAUAUCUACAGCUGCGUUCUCAGUGGCAGUGAAUGGGAGUCUGGAAGGGUUUUUCACCAGUGCUAGAGGCAUUCGUCAAGGAUGCUCCCUCUCGCCAUAUCUGUAUGUCAUCCUCAACAACGUCCUAUCAAAAUUGCUCAACAAAGCCGCAGAAGCAGGAGAGUUUGCCUACCAUCCUCAGUGUCAAGGCGUCAAGCUAACACACCUGAGUUUCGCUGACGAUAUUUUGGUAUUCACCAAUGGUACCUCAGAAUCACUAUUGGGUAUUAUGGAAGUUAUGCGUCGGUUUGCAGCCAUGUCUGGUUUACAUAUUAACGCAGCGAAGUCAUCGAUCUAUGUGACAGGGAGGAACAUAGCUGAUAUUUUAGCGACAGCGGCAUCCUUAAGCAUUGGAGUAGGAACACUCCCUAUCCGGUACUUAGGCAUGCCUCUUACUACGAAAACACUCACUAGCCAUGACUAUGAGCCUCUUAUCGACAAAAUCCGAAGUAGAAUGUUGUGUUGGUCCAACAGAGCCCUCUCGUUUGCAGGAAGGCUUCAGCUGAUUCAGUCUGUCAUUACUAGCAUGGUCAACUUCUGGAGCUCAGCUUUUAUUCUUCCUGCUAAGUGUUUGGAUACCAUUGAAAGCAUGUGUAGCGCGUUUCUCUGGUCUGGAUCUCCUACCCAAACACAUAAGGCCAAGGUAAGCUGGGAGGAUCUCUGCGCACCUAAGGAUGAAGGCGGAUUGGGAGUGAGAAAGUUCAGAGAUACGGCAAAAGCAUUUGCUCUAAAGCUUAUAUGGAGAUUAUUUACUCAACCGUCAUCCUUAUGGGUUAGUUGGGUUAAUCACUAUUUGCUUAAGUAUAACUCCUUUUGGGAUGUGCGGGAUGAAUCAAAGGGAUCUUGGAUAUGGAGGAAACUACUGAAGUUAAGAGAUUUGGCCUAUGAGUUUCUUAGGGUUGAUAUUAAAGAUGGCAAGACAUGUUACUUCUGGUUCGACGACUGGUUGGGAAAGGGCAGACUCAUCAAUGUUACAGGUCCGGCUGGUACCACCUAUUUGGGAGUAAUGCGACAUGCUAAGGUUUGUGAUGCAGUGGCAGGUAAUGAGUGGAAUAUUAGAGGAGGGAGGAGCAGGCGGUUCCAUGAACUCUAUGAUAGUAUCUUAGCGCUUGAGCCUCCGGCGCCUGACAAAGGAAAAGAUAUUAUAAUGUGGAAGCAUGGUGAUGAUGACUACAGGAAAACGUUCUCAGCCGCUAGGACGUGGGAUCAACUUAGAAUUAAGAGAAGCAAAGUGGAGUGGUGCAGAGUGGUCUGGUUCGCGCAAGGGGUGCCUCGCUUCUCUUUUAUAACCUGGUUAGCCAUUCGGAACAGACUGUCGACAGGAGAUCGUAUGCGGGCUUGGGGUAUUGUGCAAGGGUGUGUGUUGUGUGGAGAACAAGAUGAAACAAGAGAUCAUCUCUUCUUCGCUUGCCCAUAUUCAUAUACGAUAUGGGAGCCUCUUGCACGACCGCUUAUUGGGAGAAAUAUCAACCCGGAUUGGCAAUGGACAGUGAAUCACUUGCAGCGGAUGGGAGGGAAGAGUCUUGACACGAUCCUUGCAAAGAUGCUGUUCCAAACUGUAGUGUAUCACAUCUGGAGGGAGAGAAAUGCAAGGCGUCACCAGCAGAGUUGGAAGACUACGGAUCAACUGAGCAGACUCAUAGACAAAGCAGUCAGAAACCGAAUCAGUUCAUUGAGAUAUAAACGGCAGCACAACUUGGAGGGGCUACUAACAAGAUGGUUCGAAGUUACACUUUAGGAUUCAUUGUGCACUGAUGCCAUUUUUACAGCAUUGAGCAUUUGUACAUAACAUUCUUUUGAUAGAUCAAUAAAUUUGAAAUUUCAUCAAAAAAAAAAAAAAUAAUACUAUUAUUUUAACGUAAUAUAACUAAUACCAUUAAAACUAAAACACAACUAUGAAAACAACUUUAUGUUACAGAAAAUGCCACUGUAUUUAUAAUAUUUCCUUACAAUUCAUUAAAGGCAUUUUCAUUCUAUUAAAAAAAAGAACUAUUUCUAAAAGGAAAUAACCAAAAAGAUAUUCAUAACAAUUUUUCUAAGAUUGCAAUAAUAGAUCUUACUAUAAUUUUUUGUUUCACAUAUAAAUAUAUAUAGUUAAAUUUAAUAGUAUUAAAGCUUUAAAAAUAUCUAAAUAACUAAAUAUUUUCGUAUUUAAUAUUAAAUUAUUAUUAUAUAUUAAUAUUAUUUUAAUUUCCAAUUAUACACAUGAAAUAAAAUUUAUAGUAUUUUAUAUAUAAUUAUAGCAUUAAUAAUUUAGUACAUCAGAUAAUAAAAACACUUAAAAUUUUAUCUUUUAAUUAUUUUAUAAAUAAAAAAAUUAAAUUAAAGUUACUGUACACACAAAAUAACAAAAAAAUUCAGAAUUUAUAUUAUUAAAUAAAUAAUUUUAAUUUAUAUUAUUUACAUAUUAUUAAAGUAAAUAUUAAAUCAAUGAUCAUAACUUAAUCUAACAAAUAUUUUUUUUAAAUAGAUAUUAAAAUAAUUUUAGAUGUAUAUUAGAUGUAUACGUAUAUAUAUAUUUAUGUUUACUUGAUAAAAAUAAUAUAUUAAAAAUUAACUGAUAUUUAUAGUGUUUGACGAUAUAGUCGAUUGGGUUACACUUGAUAUUUUUAUAAUUAUAGAUUUUAAUGGUUUAUUUCAUCGAAUAUGCAAUAUAUUAAUCAAAUACUAGACGGUUUCCACAAAUACAUAAACUCUUUUAAAAAAUUAUAAAACAAAAUUUUGCUAGUAUGCGACACGUUAAAAUAUUAAUUACUCCAUCUCAAUUUUAGUUUGUUAAAUAUAAAACUAAAAACAAAUUCAAGACACAUAAAAAGAAUUAUUGUGUUUGAUUAAUAUAUAAUUAUAUCUAAAUACAACUUUAACAUGAUUUCUGUAAAGCAAAAUAUUUUAAAUCAACUUAAAUAUACUAAACCUAUAAUGAUUACUUUAUUUAAAAUAAAAUAUUUUUUAAAAUUAUGAUAUUGCGUUAUAGUACUGAUUAGUUAAUAGAAUAACUAUGAAAAUUAAUAUGUUAUCUAAUUAUGUUUUACAACUAUUAAAUAUGAAUAUGUUAACAUCUCAAAUUAAGGCUUUUUCUUUUAUUUAACAGAUUUAAUAAAAUUAUACACAUGUAAUAAACUAAAAAUGAAAUUUCAUCUAAUUUUUAAAUAUUUAAAGUAAGGAAAUCAAGAUAGAAUAAUGAUUAUAACGUUUCUUAAAAUUCAAUAUUUAGCUUCAAGAAGUACUCCAAAUAAAUAAUAUACAUAAAUAUAAAUAAUUUUUUUAAAAAAAAUAGUUCCAAACUUCGAAAGGAUCAAAAUCUAAUUAUCUUAUUAAACUUUAAGUUAUAGAAGAAAGAUAAUCCAAUUAAUGAAAAACAUAUGUCUAGGAGAAUUUUCUUGAGUUUCUUGACAAGUUUCAAAUGAAAAACUCUUAUCUCCCCCUCCCCUCUUAGUUUUACUUUUUAUUUCAUUAUUUUAUUGGUUCUAUCUGUGGAUAUGUUCUAAUACUACGAGAGUUCGAUCAUUUCACAAAUUUUCAGAAAAAAAAAACAAGUUACAUGAGGCUUGCUUGGACCUUUGUUUGAGUGUUAGUUCAUAUUCAAAAGUUAAACCAAGGACACAUGCUGAACUUAUGAUUUUCGAAAACUCAGAGUUAAUGAUUUCAAAUAUGAAUGAUGGAAUGAGAUUCUACGUUGAUGUAUGAUCAAAGAGGGAGAUUAAGACAUGUUAGUUAUUACAGGUCAAGUGGAGCUUAGGUUAAACCUCACUGGGCGUGACAUGACAAAUGUCCAAGACGUCUUAGAUUUUCACUUAAAUCUCUCUCGAGCUGUUUGAAAGUCUUUGGAAAUGGACUACCUGGUAUAUCAAAUAUCUUAGAUAAGUGGUAAUUGUUAAGUUUCAUGUGCUUAUAUGGAUUUCCAUCUUAAAUUUAAUGGCGAUAACUAGAUUGAUUCUAUCUCUAUAUAUUGGUUAACUAUUUAUCCAAUUACCAGGUGUGACUUUCAUUCAUUCAUUAACAUUUUCUCUCACACAGACAAUUGAAGAAAUAAUAUGCAAAGAGUGGCCCAACAUUGUGUGACUCUAAUACCAUUUUAAAUUUAGGCUUAUUAUAAGUUUCUAACUUAUAUAAAAUCAACUGACGAUAAAUGAAUUGGUCUAAAUAUUUUAUAUAUUACUUAAAUUUCUUUUGUGAGAUAUUUUUGUAACACUCUCGUUCGAGAUAAUGAUUCAAUGACCUCCCAAAAUUACAAUGAGCAUAUAAAGUUAAUCUAUUCGAGGAACACAAAACAUAAAUUUAUAAAGGGAAGUUUACUAAAAUGACACAAAUUAGUUGUGUUAUUACUAGAAUGACUCAUCUUUUUUGAAAAUUAUUCAAAUAUUUUUUUGGUUGAAAUUGUCUUUGCCCAUAGUUAUAACAAAAAAACAUUACUAAAGUACCUUUAACAUUUAAUCGACGGCAGAUUUAUUUUCAAAAAUCAAAUAUGUCGAAUAAUAAAUUUGUUUAUAAAAUUUGUAUAGCAAAUCUACCGUUAAAGUGAUGACAAACCUUUUUAGAAAUGUCAGAUUUGUUUCCACGAUAGAGUUAAUUAUCCGAUUUAAAUAGAAACAAUUUUUUUAAGAAUAUGUUUGUCGAAUGAGGUGGCAGACUUGUUAUAAAUGGUAGAUUUUUGUGGUUGACUUUUUUCUUAUGUUAGACUUAUUUUCUUACGGGAAAGUUAUAUAUCUGACUUAAAAUUAUUAGGAGACUUUUUGUUUAUGUGGUGACAGACUUUUUAAUUUAUGUUGUGGCAGAUUUAUUGACGAAAAUCCGGGUUUACGUAAACCAAACUUAAUUUAAUGUUCAAUUUCGACCAGUUUUACAUUAAUUUCAAAUCUAAUUUAUUUUUAGGAUAAUUAAGAUCAGAAUUAGGUAAAUUUCCGAUAACUGUCAUCAGCUCUUUCAUCCUAUAUUUUCUUCCUUAUCAAGUUGUCCUUUUCAUUUGGUUUAAUCACUGGGACGUAUGUUCAUGACUUGUUCGAUGUGAGAAUUGACAACUUUAGUGGUUCAUGCCGUUCUUCUGGCUCACCAUUGAGAUAAGUUGAGAACAUAACCAAAUUAAGUCAAAUCCCAAGAGUUGAUUUGGUUCAUACUCUUGUCUUUCUGGUGGACGAAAGAAUCGUUCUAAGUUUACGGAAGUGGCCAAAUACAAAUAGAAAGUAACAAUUCUUCUACCAGUGUAGAAAAUAAAUCAGUGAUGAGAACAACUUCAAAAUAAAACAUGUUUAUUUAUGAGGCAGGGAGCUACAGAUUUAUAUAUAGCUUAUAACUAAACCCUACUCAAACUCAAGUCACCAAGCCCUCCAUUAUUGCCGGCUCAGAUGGUACUCACGCAACACUUCUCAGUAAGAUCUGUUAGGAUCUUUUAAUCCAAAACCAACAAAGCUGCUCUUUCCACUUGACUGUGAACGGCCUGAACUAAAACCUGAUGAAACGAUUGAACCUCUUGAACCAAAGCCCCUAUAACUGGAAGAACGGUCUGAACAACCAGAAUAACGGUUGUCUGAUCCUCCUAAACGAUCACCACUAUAUCUACCACUACCACCACCACCACCACCAUAACAACCUGAACAACAAUGAAUUUUCCUCCUUUACCAUGAGCCUGAAACGGAGAAAAGUGGACUAUAAAACCUUGCAAUACAUAAACACGACUGAUAAAUAGCAAGAAAAAUCACAGCAAGAAGUAAUAUAUUCCUAUGAUGCACCGGGACGGAUACCGGUACCGGGACGGAAGUAGGGAUGGGAAACGGCAAAACUAAAAAAUUAUGAUACGAGUACAGCAUAGAUACAUUUAUAAAAGUAAUAUAUAUAUAUAUACAUAUGAUUGCUGCCGCAUGCAUAGCAUUUGUGAAUUCGCUAUCAAACGUCUACUAUAGCAUAUUUCUCUCGCUAACAAUGUACAUAUUUCUUGUAGUGAAAUUUUAGUUUGGAUUGAUAUAUGGACUGCUAUAAGACAAAUCAUCGCAUAAACUUCACCAGAUAUAUAACAGAAAUAGAAUAUUCAAACGCAAUAGUUCCAAUCCAAGGUCAUCAUUAUGGUUUCAUUUUUGAAUUCUUACCUUCGGCAAUAAAUUCGAUGUAGAGAAUCAUUUAAUGCUUUCAAUUUCAACAAUAUAUAUUAUUAGUCAAAAGUGAUGAAAGAAAACAUAACGGCAGUGCUAAAAAGCUCAUGUUAAGUCCUAACUUACGGAUACGUCCCCACGCCGUCUCAUCUCAGCACCGUCCCCAUGCCGUUACCGUUUCAGAAACGUUUCCAGUACCGGGACGUCACUCAAACUCACGUCCCCGUGCAUCAUCAAUUAAGGUUCCAAAAUUUCAACAUGCAAUCGAUUUAUUUAUGAUAACAAAAACUCGGAUAGCACAGAUUAAAGACUCACAUAUUAGAGUAGCAUGCCACUGAAUCCGGAUGUGACUGAGGUGAAAUCGAUUUCGUGUUUGUCGAGAAACACAGAGACGAAGAUGAGUUACCGUGGAAUAUGCUGGGGAGAAAGUUGAGUGCGGUAGAGGUGACGGAGACGAAGCUGGCUGUGACGGAAAAGGGACUGUCGGAGAUGGAGGUGACGAGACGACAAGAAAAGCGUUUCCCAGCCCUGGUGUUCGACCUUUUCUACACUAUUAUUUACGAAGUGAUUUAGCUUAUGUGUCAGCUUUUCCAUAAUUUUAGGGUUUUUUUGUUUAUUUGUCAAAAUUUUAAAUAAUUUUACAUAUUAUUAUGUUUUAAUUGUUUUUAGUUAUUAGUUAUUAGUAAUUUUAUUUAUGAAGUGAUUUGGCUUAUGUGUCAGCUUCUCCAUAGUUUUAGUUUUUUUUUAAUCAAAAUUUUAAAUAAUUUUUAAUUAGUAAUUUUACUUAUUAUUAUGUUUUAAUUGUUUUUUAGUUAGUAGUUUUUACUUACAUGUUAUAUUUUUAAACUUAUCUAUUAUAUUUUUAAAUAUUUUUAGUUGGUUAUGGUAAAUGAUUAAUUAAUAUAAACAUAUGAUAAGCAUAAUUAAUAAUCAAUAGUCAUAAUAAUUUUAAUAAAUAGUUUUAUAAUAUUUAUAUAAUUAAUAAUAAAAAGUUUUGAAAAUAUUAUGAUAAUUACAUGUAUAAUCCACAUAAAUAUUUGAUAUCAUCUUAUUUAUUAAAUUUUAUAAUAAUAAUAUUAUUAAUAUUUUUUUUGGGAGAUGAGGAUUCGUGCUUCGAUUGACAAACAUAAUUUUAUUUAAUUUGAUUAAUAUAAUAUGUAAAGUUGGUUUCGGUCUCUUAAUAUUUGUAUGCUUUGGGUUUAUUUUGAGGUUUUGUAGGUUUUGGCAAUUCCAAGAAUUUAAUUUAAUAACAUUACUUUAUACUAACAAUUAUAGAUUUAUUUAUUUGAUUAGAAAAUUGUUUAUAAAUUAAUAUAUUAAAACAUUAUUAAAGAUAACAAUAAAUUUUAAAAUAAAAAUAUUAAUGUUGUUAUCCAAAUAAUGUUUUUAAAUAAAUAAAAAUUAAGAAUUCAAAAAUAUUAGUAGAAAUUUAAUAUUUGAUUUAAUUUUUUAUCUCUAAACUAAUAUUAUAUUUAUUAAUAAAUAUUUAUAAAAUAAUUAUGCCCGCAUGUGCGGGCAAAACACCUAGUUUUAAAAAAUAUUAAAAUAUAUUUCUUUUUUAAUUAGGAUUUAAUUAUUAGUAAUGGCAAAAUAGUCAAUUUGUAUGUUUCAAAAAUUAGUCUAUUAAUUUCAAAAUUAUGAGUUAAUCUAGUUAUUUUAUGAUUAAUUAGAGCCGUUUUAAGUAAUUUCUCAUUUAUAAAUUCAUCAUAUUCUAAAGCUAGAUUAGUUUGACCAGUUGAAGACCAAAUAAUCAUAAGGAUAAAUACAUUUUUCAUCACCCAUAACAGAGUUUUAAGUUUAAGACGAGGGUGAAUCGAUCUGGUCCAAAAGAACCAAAGAAAUUACUGUCCGUCUUCCAGCUCUAUGACUAUAACUAUACCUCCAUGAAAAAACUACUCUUCGAUUGUUCAAAAUGCAUCCAUUGAGAUCUUGGUUUCAGCGAAGCAAAACAUUUUCAUUAGAGCAUCUCCAAAAGAACUCUAUAACUUCAAAUAUAAAGUUUUUGGCUCUCCAAAAAGGAACUUCAAAACUUCAAAUUUAGAGUUUUAAGAAGUGAAACUUCAAAUAUAAAGUUUCACUACUCAAAACUCUAAAUUUGAAGUUUCAUCUUUUUAUUUGCAUUUUGGUCCUUAUAAUUAAUUAUACAUCACAUUUAUGAUUCUUAAGCAUUUUUUUCAUUCAUGGUUUUAAUCUUUAAAACUUCUGUAUAUUUUAAAUAUUUCAAAUUUAUUUUUAUAAAUUAAAAUUUUACAUAUAAAAGUUUUUUUAAAAAAUCAAAAUAAAGAUUUAUAAUAUUUUAAAACUAGAUUUAGACAAAAAAAAAUAUAUCAAAAGAAGCUUAAUAAUUUUUCUAAAGAAGAUAUAUACAUGAAGACAUAAUUGUUAUACAAAUUUAAAUAUUACAUCAACACUAAUAGUCUAGUAAAUUUUCUCCGGAACUUCUAAAAUAUUGUCCAAACAAAUUUUGUAUAACCGAAAAUGGAGCAUUAAUAAAAUAAUUUUAUGUAAUAAUGUGGUAUUUUUCUUGUAGUUUAAUAUUUAAUUAUGUAUUUCUAUUUAUAAUUUUAUAUUUUAAUGUAAGAUUUUAUUAAUUAAUAUUACUAUAAUUUUUUUAUAUAUGUGCUAGUUAUCUACAAAAGUUUUAUGGAUUUAUAUUAAUUAUGACAAAUAUAAGGAGCAUAAUGUAAAUUACAAAUAGUUUUGAAGUUAAAUUUGAAGUUUUCCUUUUGGAGAAGAACAUUUUGAAACUUCAAAUAUAGAGUUUGCAAAACUCUAUAAUAGAUAGUCUUUUUGGAGAUGCUCUUAGGGACAAGUGGUUCUCAUUUGAUCCUAUUUCCAAAACACUUGCAAAACUUCUCAUUCUUAUGAUUCAUAAAUAGAGAGUUGCGUUGUCGUAUAUCUAUUAAUAAAAUUUUCUGGUUGAAAAUUUCAGAUGGGAUAGCCGAGAUCACCGAGUUUGCAAGACUGGCUUACAUUGGAGAGAGCAUCCAGAAUCAACUUUUAGUGUAUUCACAUAUACGACUUAAUUAAAGCACAAAUAGGAAUUGGGUUUGAAAUUACCCUUUUCUUUAGCUCAGAAUGCUAAAAUAUUAACCAUGAUCUUUUGAUAACCAAAUUCUUGAAAUUGUCAGGCUGUUUCUUACCUUAUUAGUUGAAAGUUGAACUGCUUUGAUUUCUUCAGCUCAGAAUGCUAAAAUAUUGCAAGGUAUCAAUAUACAUGAACUACGUUAGUUGUAACGGUACAGAAUCAAGGUGAAGGUGAUGCUUGACUGGGGCCCCAAGGGCAAAUUUGGACCGCUGUUGCCUGCUGUUGUGAUCAUCAGGCUUGAAGAGGCCUUUUUGCGUGUUUGGUUUACUACAUGGGGAUGGUUCUCUUUUGGGACAGUAUUAGUGACGAAUUUUAUUCUCAUAUUAUUCUAAUAUAUUAUUAUAGUUCUGGAGAUAAAAAUAUAAUCUUGAGACCAAUGGGAAAUUGUCAAAUAUAAGAUAGAAGAAGAAUGCAAGAGUUAAUUAUAACAUAAAUUGACAAAUCAUUACCAUAAUAUAAUGACACACAGAUAUCUCUCGUCCUUAGCCUCUCUUAACAGGAUCAAAGUUGGAGACACCAACAACCACACCGAUGAUGACCGUGAGCACCACCCCUCCCGCGGCAAUGCUAAGCAAGAAGUUCUUGAGAGAGGGAGAGACUCCGGAGCCUGCGGCUUCAGCCACCUCAGGGAUCACCAUUGAAACGGUGAGAGCUGCUGCUGCUAAGCCGCUCACAGCCUUCUCCAUCUUCAGGUUAGAUGCAUUCACUUGAAACCUCCGUGAAGGCAUGGCUAAGGAGGAGGAUGACGCCUUAGAUGGCUUCAAAGGCAAUAGUGGCUUGCGUAAGGCUACAGUUUUUGUCGACGACGGCGAUCGGUUUUGGGUGAGUGGCAUGAACAAUGACACGGCGGAGGUAGAAGCCAUCUCUUUCC
rnacentral:lncRNA from 1 species